rnacentral:lncRNA from 1 species
UCACCUACUUCGAUACUCUGUGGCUAAAAUUUCCACCUUCAGAACGCCUCUUUUUCUAUCAAAUCACUGACCUAACUAUCGAUUUAUUCAACUCAGUGAUCAUCCCGAAGCUCGCUGACUCUCUCUCUCUCACUCUCCUUCAUUAUCUCCCCCUCGCCGGUCACAUAAUGUGGCCUGCGGACUCCGCGAAGCCAGCCAUUUACUACUUCCCUGACCAAAACGACGGCGUCUCAUUCACCGUUGCUGAAUCCGACGCUGACUUCAGCCACCUCACUGGCAAUAACGGAAACCGCGAAGCCGUUGAAUUUCAUCAUCUGACGCCCCAGUUGUCCAUAUCCGACGAUAAAGCUGAGGUGGUUGCUAUACAAAUAACUCUGUUUCCGAAACAAGGGUUUUGCAUCUCCGUCUUGACUCACCACGCUGUCAUCGACGGGAUAAGCAAAACAAUGUUUGAGAGAUCUUGGGCUUAUUUCUGCAAACAACUAAUUCAGAUGCAACAACAAAACCUUAAUAAUUCUUCGAUAUUAUUACCCACCGAGCUAAUCCCGUGCUUUGACCGGACUCUCAUCAAAGAUCCGGAAGGGCUGGACGUUGUUUAUGCGAACCACUGGCUGGCUUUUCAAUCUGACAAGCGAAGCUUGAAGCUCGUUAGUAUACCGGUUCUGAAAGCACAUUCCAGCGUGGUUCGAAUGAGCUUCGAAUUGACCCACGAAGACAUAAAGAAACUGAGGGACAAGGUACAGGGAAAUGAGGUUCUCAUAAGACAUGCAAAAGAACUUCAUUCGUCGUCUUAUGUGCUUACAUGUGCUUAUGUCUACGUUUGCCUGGUUAAAGCAAUGGGAGUAGAAGGUGACGCAACUGUUAUGCUGCGGGUCGGAGCAAAUUGUAGGAGCCGGUUGGAUCCUCCUCUUCCGGUUAAUUAUUUUGGUAACUGUGUUAGUGGGCAUGGUACCCCUGCAAAGGUAAGCGAUGUCGUGGAUCCGGAAAAUGGGAUCGCAUUUGUUGCUGACAAGUUAAGUGAUUUGGUCAAAGGGCUGAAGAGGGAAGUUAUUGAAGGAUCCGAGGAGAAGAUUUUGAAUUUGUUGAAAUAUGUAAAAGAGGGUGGAGGACAAGCUCCAGGAAGAUUUCUUGGGGUCGCCGGGUCGAACCGUUUUGAUGUUUACGGGUCAGAUUUUGGGUGGGGGAAGCCGAAAAGAGUGGAGAUUAUUUUAGAUCUUGUUGGAUCUAUUUAUUUAGUAGAGAGUAGAAAUGGAGGCGGUGCUGUUGAGGUUGGUGUUGUUUUGGAGAAGCCACAGAUGGAAGCUUUUUCGUCUCUCUUCGUUAAUGGCCUUAACUGAGUUUAUCAUAUUUUUGAGUUUUUUUCCUCUUCAUUCUAUUCUACUAUGAUAUGAGAUUGUGAUGGUAUACUCGUUAUUGCUGAGGGCACUUAUUCGAAUUUGCACGCAGGCUCUUUUCUUAGUAAACCUAUUACAGUCUUAUUACAUAUCAUAUAUUUGUAAAUCAAAACUAUUAAAAAAUAAUUAAGGACUUGAGGUUAUUCUCUUAUUUGAUAAGUAUCUAAUUAGUAGUAAAUGUCAGUUGUUACCUCUUUAUAUUUUUGCUUUGAAUAAAAAAAAAAAAAACACUUAUUUUUUAUGUAUUUAUUUAUUUAAAUGUCAUAUCUUUAAGUUUUUUAGAGUUAUAUCUUGAUAUCACUAUUCACUAGGGCCAUGCAUAGCUUCUAGAAAUGGUUGAAAGUUGAAACUUCAUCCUUUUGGCAUUACAUAUGAUGCGCCCGAAAGAAACUUCAACGACAUGAUCCGCAUGGGUGGCCAUUGCACAUUAUUGCCCUUGAUCACACAUGUACUAACAAGUCAAAAUAUUGACAAAUCUCAUUUUCGAUAACUUCUUAAAGGGAAAUAUUUAAUUCUAAAUAUGCUUCGCCUUAUUAAUGUUGAAUUCUUUAAAACUCAUUUGAUAAACAUAAAAUAUGUAAAAUACUGAUAUACGUGUAGGUAUUUUCUACUUAUAUCGAUAAUGCUCAAACUAGUUGAUUUCACCAUUUACUCGUUGAUUUAUGGCUGUGGCUCCUCUUUAACUCAAAAAACAUAAUUAUAUAUCUAGCAUAUAAAAUUUAUGAAAAUAAUAAAUUUAUUUUCGAGGUACUGAGUUCAUCAAUCGACAUAAUAAUAAAAAAUUAUUAAUUAAACGUUUCAUGGCCUAAGUUAACAUAAUUGGGUUUUCAUAUAUAAACUAUGAAAUAUCAUACACUUCUUUUGAAAAUUACGGGAUCCAACAACAUAUAUUUUGAUUGAAGUAUCGACUUAAACAUAGUCAUAGAGCACUUAAGUUAAAAUUUCAUAUUACACACAAAAUUAAUGUUUGUAUAUAGUUUUGUUAAGCAUUAAAAUUUACCUUUAUUCAUCAAUUUAAGUUUUUAAGUCAAAGGAUUUCAUUAACAUAAUGUCUGAAUUAAUAUUUUUUAAAUAUAUUACUUUUAUUUAAUAGUUACUUUUACUUUUUCAUUUUCUUUCUUCAUUUUUUUUAAUUCACCUAAUAGCUAAUAGCUUUGUAGUCAAAAGUCCUAAAAACACUUUUUGAUCGAUUUUUGAUUUUGUAACUUACAAUUCGAUUCCAGUUACCACUGCGCAUAUGCUUCAAGAAAAUGAAAGUUUCAUCAGGCAUCCAAACUCUAUAAAAAAUUCAUUUUAAUUGUAUCACAUAUCAUAUAAAUUAAUUAUGAUGAUAUUGAUGAUGAGUGUGUCGACAAAUAAGGAAUGUGCGAGUCAUUAUUUUAUUUUGAGUACAUGCUCGUUUAGUUCCGAUAUUUUUGGUUUAAGCACCCAUUUAGUCCUUAUAUUUUAAAAAAUACCUAAAAACAUCCAUGUAAUAAAUAAUAUUACAUUCUUAGUCUUUUUUCUUUCUUUUUACAAUAACACCCUUCCAACAAUAAUUUUGACAUUAAUCAAUAUAUAUGUGUAUGUAUGCAUGUAUACACAUGCACACAUUAAAAAGUUCAUUAAUAAAUUAACCAAUAAUUAUUCAGUAGCAAAUUAACAAAUAAAUACUAGUGUGAAAGAAUUAUUAUUUUUUGUACUUGUGCAACAAUUUUACUAAUUACUAUUAAUAAAUUAAUAUCAGCUAACUUAAAACAAUAUUUAAUAUGCUUACAACAAGCUUACUAAUUAUUAUUUCAUAAAAAAUAGUUUAUCAAAUUAAUUCUAAAAAUAAAAUAAUUAAAAUAUAAAAGUUUGUGUAAAUUUUUAUGUUACUUUUGAAGUUGAUUUGAUAAAUUAGCAUUUUUUUCUUUUUAUUAGUAUCCCCAAGAAUAUUCUUGCAAGGGUGAAAUUGUAAUAGGAAAGAAAAAGUAAGGUAGGAUUAUAACACAUUUAACAAUGUGAAUGUCUUGAGGUAUUAUUUUUAAUAUAAAGACUAAACAGCACUUAAAUCAAAAUAUAAGGAUUAAAUGAGCAUUUACCCUUUUUUUUUGUAAUUAAAGAACAGUUCCUAACUUCAUAAUUAUGAUAGGAGCAAGUAGUAGACUUAUAUAGUUUAGUUUUAGAUUUGAUUUACUUUUAAAGAUUAAAAUUUAUUCAGCUUGGAAUUGAUCAAUUUUUAAUUAGUUUUUUAGGUCAUGAAAAUUAUAUUGACGUAUAAUUUUGAUAAAGCCUUCUUUCUAUUGAGUUCACUACUAAAGUCUUAUAAAGGUUUUGUCAAUUCUAUGUUGCAUUGUGGAACAACCUUAACAUCAGAAGAUGUUAAAGCCUCUCUGAGUUCAAAGGAGGUUUAGAAGAAUAAUCGGCAUGGAGUAAGUAAUGGUGAAGGCUUAAUGGCUAAAAUAGAAAAGAAAACACAGAAGAAGAACAAGAAUCAAACAAAGAAAGAUGAAGGAUCUGCAAGAGAAAAGUUAAAGAAGAGAAAGUGCUUUUACCAUAAUAGGCAAUGCCAUUAUAUUAGAGAUUGUGCUGAAAAAAAGGAAGAUGACAAAGAAAUAAAGAAGGAUGCAGCAGUGGCUUCUAAUGAUUCAUCUAAUGAUGGAUAUCACAAUGCUGACUUAUUGGUGGCUUCAAGCAGCAACAUAAGAGGUUAGUAGUGGAUUCUUGACUCAAAUUGUUCCUUUAAUAUGUGUCAUAAUAGAAGUCUCUUUUGUCAGUAUGAAUUAAUGGAUGGUGAUAGAGUCUUGAUAGACAAGUACAAUAUGUGUAGGAUUGUUAGUAUUGGGUCUCUAAAAAUCAAGAUAUUUGAUAGGAUCGCAAGAACUCUACAUGAUGCAAGGCAUGCACCUAGGCUUAAGAGAAAUUUAAUCUCUUUAGGUAUGUUUGAUAGCUUAGGAUACUUAUUUAAGUUUGAAAAUGAUGGCUUGAGGAUAAUGAAAUGGACUGAAAUGGUGAUGAAAGGUGUUAAAAAAAUCACCAGUACCAAUGCCAGCUACAAUAUCUACUAUUUUUUAGGUAGAUAGAACGAAGUUAUGGCAUCUUAAGCUUGGCCAUAUGAGUGUUAAGGGAGUGUAAGAUUUUAAUAAGCAAGGACUUCUAUGUGGUGAUAAGAUUUAUGAGCUUGAGUAUUGUGAAAAUUCUAUCUUUGACAAGGCAUAUAGGUCCAAAUUCACAAAAGGCUUGAACUGUACAAGUUCAAUCUCUAAGUGAUAGGAGAUAUUUCAUGUCUUUGAUAGAUUAUUACUUCAGGAAGGUAUGGUUAUACAUUCUUAAAACCAAAGAUCAAGCUUUAGAGAAGUUUGAAGUAUGGAAAGCUUUGGUGGAGACUUAAUCUAUUUGAAGGUUAAGUGCCUAAGAACAGAUAAUAGACUUGAAUUCUGUAAUAAAGAAUUUGAGGAAUUUUGUCAGAAAUAGAGAAUCACUAAGCAUGAGAAAACGAGAUUCAUCUCUUAGCAAAAUGGUUUAGUUGAAAGGAUGAAUGAAACUUUUGUUGACAAAGCAAGAUGUUUGCUGAUAAACACGAAGUUACCAAGGAGCUUUUGUGCUAAAACUAUCUCUACAACUUUGUUAUUUGGUUAACUAGAGCCCAUCUACAGUUAUUAGGUUCAAAACUUUAGAAGAACUUUGGUCUAGGAAGCCUGUGAAUUACAAACAUCUCAAGAUAUUUGGAUGUCUUGCAUAUGGUCGGAUUAAGCAAGGAAAGCUUGAUGCAAGAGCUAUCAAGAGAGUGUUUAUAAGUUAUCCAGAUAGUGUCAAGGACUACAAAAUUUCGUCUGUAGAAGGUCAUGAAUGUUUAAUUACUAGAGAUGUUCAAUUUAAUAAAGCUAUCAUGAUCAAUAAGUCUAAUAUAGCCACUUAUGAUACUGACAUCAUUGCUAAAAAGAAGGAAUAGAAAAUGACCUUAGUUAAUUACAAGGUAUUUGUUCAUGUUAGACAAUUGCCUUGUAAAUUGAAAGUAACUCUAUAAACUAUAGUAGCUUUAUCAUUUACUGAAGCUGAAAUUUAUUUUAGCAACAAAGGUUGUGAAGCAAUCUUUGUGGUUGAAAGGGCUGUUGAAUGAGCUGUGGUUGAAACAAAAGAGAGUUUACAUCUUCUAUGGUAACCAAGGUGUAAUUCAGUUUAUCAAGAACUAGGUCUAUCAUGAAUAGGGGUGGGCACUGGUUUAGAUCGGUUCUAUUUCAGAAUAAAUAGAAAUUUUUGGUUUGGCUUGGGAAUUUUAGAAAAUUAGUUUGGGAAUUUCCAUUUAGUUUAAUUUCAGUAUUAAUCUAUUUAUUUUUUUAUUUUUAGUUAUAAUACUCUGAAUCAAAACCAAAACUAAACUAGAUUUUUUGGGGUCUGGUCUGGUUUAGCCCUCUCUUAAAUGUCACGUGGCAUUUUUAACUUAAAAAAUAUUUUUUUGGUUACUCGGUUCGAUUUUUGAGAUUUGAAAUUUUAAACUGAAAACUGAACUAAAGUAUUUAGUUUUAUACUAAGCUGGAAUAUUUGAUUUUCUAAGAAAAACCAAAUUGAACUGAUAAUUUUUCGGAUUAGUUUAGUUAUGCCCACCUUUAAUCAUGAAGGGACUAAGUGCAUUAAUGUCAAACUACACUUUGUUAGAGAAAGGUCUGUCGUGGUAGCAACGAUCAAUACACAUGUUAACCCAGUUGAUACGCAAAACUGAUUCCAACAGCCGAAUUCAAGCUUGGUGUGAGCUUGAUUAGUGUUGGGAAUGGUUCUAGUAGUUAAGCUAUGUGCAUGAAGGUUUUUUAGACGCUGCUUUGUUGAAAUUAUCAAUUGAAUCAAGUCUGUGAAGUGGAGAAUGUGAAGAUAAAAGUAUUUGAUUUUUUGGACUUCAAUCCAAAACUUGAAAAAGUGAUGGGCCAAUAUAUAGAUUGACUUUAGUUCAACCAGAAAUAUCAAUAUAAAAAGAGCUGAUUAAUAGCAACUAAUGUUAGUUCGAUUUCUUCUUGCUCAUUUUGCAUAGAAUUUAUUUCUUUGUGAGCUAUGCAAUCUCAUUUGUAGAUCUGAUUUGCAUCACGAUUGAAUUUUUCCUUCACAAGUUGGCUAUGUUCAACUGUUAUUCAUUUCUAAUUCUUUAGUUCUGAGUUUUGUUCUUGAUUCUAUUUUUUCCUCAAUCUUGUUGAAUCAAUUUAGUUAUUAAAGAAUUAACUUGCUAAGCCCUUAAAUACUCAACAAUGGCAACACAUUUUACACUAGUUUACCACAUCCACUAAAAACAUACAAGUUUUUUUUUUCUCUAACUAGAGCAUCAUUCAAUUAAAAUUAUAAUCAAAUCGUGUGGCGUGUGCAGAGAAUUUUCGUGAUGUAUCAACUUUCUCUCAAGAAGACCAUUGUUUUCAAAGCCUUGUCCCCUCCUUCUGAUUUUCCCUUUGUGACUUUCCACCGUUUCUUUCCAAGACAAGCAUUUUUUUUUUUUCAAAAAAAAUUAUCUAGAAGCUUUGCAAUAUUUCUACAUUGUAAAUUAUUAUUAAUUAAUUGUAAGUACAAGAGUUAGGUUCACAUAUAAUAGUUUUUUUUAAAAAUUUUUAUUGAAAAACAACAUAUGAUAGUUGAAACUAGAAUUAGCAAAAUUUGACAUGACCCAAUUACCUGACAUGAACACAAUACGAAUAAAUGAGUAUGCACCGUCAAAUUUGACAGGAUUAUUAAAUAGGUCGGGGAUGGUUCGACAAUUUUUUCUUGUUGGGUUAGGGUUAAAGGUCUUGACCUAUUAACCCGAUCAGUGACACAAUUAUGUUUUUUAUUCUAAAUUAAUUUGCAGAUUCUUAUCAUCAAAAUUCAAAUAUUGGAUAUAAUUUUUUUUUAUUUUGCAAGGAUGAACAUAGCCACAUUCAUUUUAUAAAAUUUUAUUUAGAUUUAGAACUUCAAUAGUAUAAAUGUGUAAAAUAUUGGUAGAAAUGUAUAUUUUAUGAUAUCGAUAUGUAAUAAUAUAUAUGAUUAAAACGUCAAUAGUGUAAUGUGUAAUAUUUUGGUAAAUAUGUAUAUUUUACAAUAUUGAUAAUUGUAUAUAUACACAUACACACAUAGUUGCAAAUAUUUAAUGCAAAUUUUGUUAAAUAUAUAAAUAUUAAGCAGGUUCUUAGGUAACCCAUUUAUUUUCUGUGUUGAGUUAGGGUUUCAAUAUUUUGUCAUGAUUACUAAAUGUGUCGUGUUUGGGUCGACUUAAAUUUGACACCACACAAACAUCACAUGGUAGCCGAUUUUGACAAUUUUAGUUGAAACCACCUAUUAUGUGCAUUUGUGUGUGUGUGUGUGUGUUAAAAACAAUUGGGAGCUGGUCGCAAUUCACUUGAUAUGAUCAAUCUGAAUUGAUAAAAAAUAAAAAUAAAAAGAUCUGAAAUUGAUUAUAUGUGUACAUAUUGAUUAAAAAAGAAAAAAAAGAGUCAUAAUCAUUAUAAUAGAUUUUCUUAGGCUCCGUUCGAUAUAACUUUCAAAUAAAGUUUAGUGGAGAUUUUAUUAAUAAAGCUUCUAUAAGUAGAGGUUUUACCCAAAACAAUUUAGUUUUUGGUUCUCAAUGAGAGCUUUUAUUAAAAAUCUUAAAAUUACUUUAAUGGGCAAUUUUUUUAUAGUUAUAUUAUGAAAGCAAUGAAAUAAGAUUAUCGAAUAAAUAAAGGAUAUUUUAGAUAUUUUAAUAUUUAAUAAAAGCUUUUCAACCUCUACUUCUAAAAGCUCAAAAUUUGAGAUUUUGCUAAUGGAGGCAAAAUAACUUAUUUAAUAUUUAAAAGCUCUACUAAAAGGUAGCCAAACUACAACAAGAAUUUUAAUAAGAGCUUAUGAGAUUAAAUAAACAUUUAUAGUCAUUUACUAAGUUAUACCAAACAAGCACUUAAUACAUGUUUGUAGAUCAAAUUUGGUAGGCAAUCAUGUCAAAUUUAUUACUUCACAUUUGGCAUUGAUUGGAUUUAUGAUGGCAAAGGCUAUCUAAAGGCUUGAAAAGCCAAAAUAUUGAUGCACCAACUAGAGUAAAGUACUACUAGCUAAGGGUUUUUUGCAUUUAACGAUAUUGUUUUUUUUUUUUUUUUUUAACUUUUUACUCUUAUAGGGUGAAAACACAUUCAAUUAGAAAAAUUAGAGGUGGCCAAUGGGCCAAGUGGCUCGUGGCACGGCACGACACGAGCACGUUUCAGUAAGGCAUAUGGCAUACCGUGCCACGCACACGAGUUGGACUGGGCUGAGAAUUUUAGGUAUGUAGGCCAUAAAAGCACAAUAUGAUUAGAGAUAAGUUAAGUAUGGCAUGUGAAAGGGCCCGCAAUAAGCAUAUUACAUUUUUUAAUUAAAAAAUAGCUUGAAAUUGAAUUUUUAAUAUAUUUUAUUAGUGUAAAUUUUUUAAAUUCAUUUAAUUCUUAGUUUGGAAAAAUACUCUAAUUAUUUUAUGUUUAUAAUUUAUUGUAUGAAAAAAUGAUAUCAUGAUUUUAAUAAAUAAAAUUAUAAAUAUCAUGAUUUUGUAAAAUGUAUGUAUUAAUGCUAUUAUGGAGUAUGAUAUAUAAUUAUAUAUAAGUCCAAUUUAACAAUUAAAUUAACCACUAAGAAAAAUUUAUUAUUGUUGUUGUUAUUGUUAUUAAAUAUUAAAAAAGAAUUCCAAUACCAUAGUGUCUAACUUAAUAAUUAGUAUUACAUUCUCAUACUAUUAUUAAUUUAUUGCAAUUGAAUAUGGACUUGAGUUUUGAACUUUUGAUUUUAUUGAAUUUAACUAAAGACACAUAAACCCCAAAAAAAGUAUAUCGACUUAAAAAAAGUAUACCAACAACUUCGAAUGUCCGCUUAAAAAAAUAGAAAAAAAAAUUUCUCGUGCUUUUUACUUAGGCAUAGCCUACAACACGGCACGGUACGAUCCGCUUGGACAUGACACAUGUGCUAGGCCUGGGCCUAUGCAGAAAAAUUUGACACGAAGCGGCACGGUACAAAGCACAUGCUGGACAUUGUACGACAUGAAUAUGAGCCUGCAUGUACCUUCCUUUAAAGGGUUGCGUCCGCACAGAACGCUCGUUGGCCAUCUCUAAGCAAAAUCGGCCUAGUUUUGUCCGACUCAGUCACCAGUUUCACUUUUCCACUCACAUACUGAGACACUUUUUAGUAAAAAUUUCCACCCUCAGAACACCUCUUUUUCGAUCAAAUCUUUUACUUAACUUUUGAUUUAUUCAACUCAGUGAUCCUCCUAAGGCUCACUUACUCUCUUUUCCUCACUCUCCUUGAUUAUCUCCCCCUCACUGGUCACAUAAUGUGGCCAACAGACUCUGCAAAGCCAACCAUUUACUACUUCCUAAGGAAAACUGUGCAUCUCACUCAGCGUCAUUGAAUCCGAUACCGACUUCAACUGGCUCUCUGGCAAUAACGGAAACUACGAAGUCGUUGAAUUCAUCAUCAAACACAAAAGUUGUCAAUAUCCGACGAUAAAGCUGAGGAAAUUGCUAUAUAAAUAAUUCUUUUCCAAAAUAAAGUUUUUGCAUCUCCGUUUUCACUCACCACGCUGUCAUCCACAGGAAAAGCAAAACAAUGUUUGACAGAUCUCGGGCUUAUUUAUGCAAACAACUAAUUCAGAUGGAACAACAAAAACAACAAAACCUUAAUAAUUCUUCGAUAUUAUUACCCGCCGAGCUAAUCCCGUGCUUUGACCGGACUCUCAUCAAAGAUCCGAACGGGCUGUACGUGGUUUAUGCGAACCACUGGUUGGGUCUUCAAUCCUGCAAGCGAAGCUUGAAGCUCGUCAGUUUGCCCGUUCUGAAAGCGUAUUCCGACGUGCCCCAAAAGAGUUUCGAGUUGACCCAAAGAAACUGAGGGAUAAGGCACAGAGAAAUGAGGUACUUAUAAGAAAAGCAAAAGAACUUCAUUUAUCAUCUUAUGUGCUUACAUGUGCCUAUGUCUACGUUUUCCUGGUGAAAGCAACGGGAGAGGAAGGUGAUGCAACUGUUAUGUUGUAUGUUGAAGCAGAUUGUAGAAGCUAGUUGGAUCCUCCUAUUCCGACUAAUUAUUUUGGUAACUGUGUUAGUGGGCAUGGUGCGGCGGUAAAAGCAAGUGAUGUCGUGGAUCCAGAAAAUGGGAUUGCAUAUGUUGCAGACAAGUUAAGUGAUUUGGUCAAAGGGCUAUAAAGGGACGUCAUUGAAGGAUCUGAGGGGAAGAUUUUGUAUGUAUUGAAAUUCAUAAAAGUCGGUGGAGGUCAAGCUCAAAAAAGACUACUUGGGUUAGCUGGAUCAAACUAUUUUGAUGUUUAGGAGUCAGAUUUUAGGUGGGGUAAGCUGAAAAAAGUAGAGAUUAUGUUAGAUUGUAUUGGAGCUACGUAUUUGGUAGAGUAGAAAUGAAGGCGGUGUUGUUGAGGUUGUAUUGUUUUGGAGAAACCACAAAUGGUAGAAAUUUUAUGAUACAUUAGAGGUAUUGUGUCAAUUAUAUAACAAGCAAAUAAUGUUAUAACAUGCGUAUAUUUAUUUUGAAAAACAACCAUGCAAGUGGUGAAUAUAUUAAAUUUAAUUUCAAAUGUCAUAAUACAUUAGUUGGUUAUAUUAUCUCUUAUGUAUUUUAGAAUUUAUCCACAAAUGAAAGCUUUUGGUUCUUUCUUUGUUAAUGACCUUAAUUGAGUUUAUUAUAUUUUGAGUUUUUUGUCUUCAUUCUAUUAUAUUAAGAUAUACACGAUUAUGAUGGUGUACUCAUUAUUGUUGAGGCCACUUAUUUGAUUAUUUAUAUAUUUCAUUUAUUUACAUUAUUAAAUAACCCUUAUGCAUUUGAUAACACAUCUAGUAACAAGUCCUACUAGAAAUAAGUCAAAGACAAAUCUCUGUUCACUUAUUAAUUUAUGAUAUGAAAAUAAUUAACUAAUUCUCAAGUUACUCCACAAGUUCAUCAACCAAAAUCAAAAUACAUAAUUAAUAAUCAAAUGUUUUAUUGCCUAAGUUGACAUAAUCAUAUGCAGUCUCAAAAAUAUCAUAUAAUUCUUUUGAAAACAACAAUGUCCAAUUACAAGUACUUCGAUUAAUGUCUUAUUCAUAAUCAUAGGUGCUCAAAUAAAUUUCUUAAUACCUACAACAUUACUGUUUUACUACUACAAAAAUGAUCUUUAUUGACACUUAAUUUCUGAUAUUUUGUAAAAAGUAUCAGUAAUUGUAUGCAUAUGCACCAUUUUUUGCUUUUAACAAAUAGGUAUCACAAAUUACUGAUAUUAGUGUGUCAGUAAAUUAAAAAUAAAAAAUCACUGGCACUGAAGUAUUAGAGGUUAAAAAAAAUUAUUAUGAUUUGUAAAUCUUCCGACUCGAACCAAAGACUUUUAAAAUUUAAAAUUUUUACAAUUGAACCAAAGACCACAAGACCUACAGAUUCAAGAUACGAGUAUUUUUUAAAAGAAUUAAAAACAAAAAUAUAAUAGCAAAAGCAAAAUCCCUAGAUCUCUUUCUCCCAUUUCAUCAUAUUGUCAAUCGAAAACAAAACAAAUCACCACCACGCCGCUGACAUACCCAAAAUCUCUUCCGCCACUGUCGUCACUACUUUCGACUAGCCACUGCCGUCAUCUUCGAUGCACCAAAGUCUGUUCUCUAUAUUUUUGUCUCUUUUGCUGCCGUCAUCUCCUGUCAUAUCUCAUGCACCAAAGUUGGAAACCCACUGCCGUGACUUAUGAUUUUUUACCGUCAUCGGUAACUAAUCCACUGCGGUCAUCACCAAUAGGCCGUAACUACUUCCAGUUAUCAUCAAUACUCAGCCGUUCGUCAUCGGUAAUAACUUCUCAGCCUCUGUCAGCCGCUGCUGUCACUGUCGCACUGCCUCAAUCUCCAUCAUCGCUGUUAAAUGGAUAAAUAGAGCAUGAAGAAAAGAGAUAAUGGACCUAAGUGUCUUGUGACCAGUAAGAGAAUUCAACAGGUAUCCGUACCUUUUUUUUUGUAUAGAGAAUUCUUUAAAAUUGCUCUACUAAAUGUCAUGUACUUCUUACUGAAACUAACUGCUUCUACAUAUGAUUUUAUAACAAAAUUUUAAGAUUAAUUAACAUUGUGGCUUUAGGUUCCUUGAAGCCACAAUUGAUUUUAGAUCUAUUGAUUUUAUUUUAAAUUUUGUUGUUUAUCAUAAAUGAGCAGUUGAUUUUUUUUCUGGAAUAGAAAUUGCAAGAGAGUUGACAAUACAACGCAAACAACCUUUGUCAGAUACUAUACAUCAAAUCCUUUGGCCCCGAAUAAAUUGCUUAUCUGGGUGGUAUGUUAAGACUUUUUGUUCGUUGUUCAUUUAAAUUGAACCAUUUUAUCUCUUUGCAUAUGAAAGAAAACAGAGAUGUUGUUUGGUUGCUGAGAAAAUAGCUCAGAGAAAGAGAUGUUUCUGGAAUCUGUACAUUACACUGGAGACUAAGUAGGGUAGUGCCCUUACUAUUCGCUGUAAUAUAAUUACUCUUCUUCAUGAUUCAAUUAACUAGAAUGAGAUUCUCAUAAAGGUAAGUGGAGUGCCAUGAAUAACAGUAAAAUUAGACCGCUUUUUUCUUCUUUUUUUCUCCUCACUAGAUGAGAAGUUGGUUAAGCCAACUCUACUGCAUAUAAAAUUAUUUGUGAAGAAAUGAAAUCUUCAGCUAGGAUAUGGCUAGGAGUAUUAAGGAAACAACCUUUUGGGCAGCAAAGAAAUAAUUAACUAUGCGAUUAGUUUAAUAGUAAUCAUUGAUUACCUUCAGAAAUCAAACCUCAUGUUUAAGUGGCUGAAAGAAGUAUAAUACACUUAUGCUUUUCUUUUCCCCUAUGUAACCGGAAGAGCAUAUCUCUAUUUUUGAUAGCUAUGAUCAUACCUCUAAUUGCGUGCAUUGGUAUCAUAAUUUUGACUGAGGUUGCUAGUUUUGUCAACUUGUAGGCCUGCUUCUUCUGCCAAUUUGGGCACUCAGUGGUUUAUGCUGACUAUCUUACACUUUGAAAGUGGUUUGUUCUGACCAGCUUACACUUUGAAAGGGGUUCAUCAUGGUAUGCAGUUUUCCUGUUUGUUUAAAUGAUAUGCCUUUACAAUUAUUAAAGGAUUUGCUUCUGCAUCAUUCUUUAUUUGAGAAAUAUAUGUCAAAUAAACAUGAGCUUACAAAUUUUGCAUGUUUGUAUCUCUACUCCAACUAAAUAGUUUUCACAGCCAAAAUUUGUUAGUGCGUGAGUGCUAAACUUGUGUUCAUAUAAAUGAAUGAAAGCCAUCAUCAUUUUGCAUAUUAAUUAAUGUUUAAGCUUGGGGGUUACUUGCUUCAAUAAAGUUUCUUCUCAAUAAUCUAGACACAAGCAUGAACUUGAUGACUCUUAAAUCUUAAUAACGUAAAUAUUUAUAAUCACAAGUAGAGAAUAUUUAUAAAAUAAUCUUUUAUAACUGGAGGAAAUUGUUAGAUUUAAAUUUCAUUAAAAUAACCUAUACAAGUUAGGGAAAAAAAGUCUAUUUAGAAAUUAUUAAAUAAAUUGCCUUAACCUUUAGUGUUACGCAUUAGAGUUUAGAUGAGUCUUUCGCAAUAAGAAAAUCAACUCCAGUAUAAUAAUUUAAGAUUAGAAUGGAAGAAAUUAAAAAGAAAUAGUCUUAAUUAAGUAUGCAUGGGGAGUGUCAUAAGUUAUAUUUUCUAUUUAGUAAUAUGAAGUUAUUCUUAAUAGCAAAUUAAAUUGUGGACAUAUUAGUAAUUUAAAACUUUAUAUUGUUAAAAUAUAGCACUCUAUAGGGUGCUUAAAGUGUUGUUUACAGGGUAUAAAUUAUCCUAGUUUCUUUAUUUCUAAAAAAUAAAUUGCUUUAUCUCUUUUUAUCAUGUGGAAAUUAAAAAGUUGAAUGGUUAAAUACUUAAAUGGACUUAUUCAAUUAUUCUUUUUUUUAUUUAACAUUAUUCUCAUUUCUUCAUUUUAAAAGUUGCGUUUUGCAUGCAAAACUUCGUUGAUAGUUGUGUCACACUAUCACUGUGCUUAAGCCUAAAUAUUUGUUUGCUUCAAUCUAAUAGCCAAAAAUUAGAAUUCCCUGAUCGCCAGCAUGGCAAAUCUAGUGGCUCACAUAACCACCAGAAUCCCACUCUCUUCAUUGACCAAACAUGAAAAACAAAAAAACUUAUAAGGCCAUUAAAGAAUAUGAAGACAUUUUUUAUUUUAAGUCUUAAUUUUUAUUAGUUACUUCACUUAUGAAUUAGCUCGACUUAUUAAAAAGCCACUAAGGCCCGUCUUACGUGUUCAUCUCUUGUUUCACUUUUAAAGCUUCUUUUGUGUCAAUUUAAUUUUGUCUGAAUUAUUAUGCUUAAUUUUAAACCUUCUACAUAUCUACUUUUACUUGUCCAUCUUCUACUACUCAUCACUCACUUAGGAUUUAAGAGAGGUUAAUGACAGCGAUCAAAAAAUGGUAGCUAGAUUCUUUUUAAAAAUUUUUGUCUCUCUAUAUUAAUUAACUGAUGAACAUUUAAUGAUUGGUACAUUGCAUAUUGUUGGAGAGAUUAUGUGAAUAACCAUGAAUUAGUAUUUUUUAUAUACACAAUGACCCUAUAUAUAUAUAUAUAUAGGGCCAUGAGAUGUACAAAACAAUUAUAUGGAUUAAUUGCGAGGUUGUUAUUAGUGAGGAUAUGUUACAAUAUUGUUGCUUGUACGUCAUGAAAGAGCUCUUGCGACUUCGUAAUCAAUGGGCUACAUAUAUUGCCAAGUUAAUUAUAGCCCAAAAUCGCAAGGUAAUAUAUGAGUAAUUUAUGAUGAUUUUUUCUUCCAAAUAUCCAAGAUUUAUUAUUUGUUGUCUACUAAUUGAUUUUAUGUACUUGUAGGUGGGAAAAAAAUGAAGCCACAUAUGGAUAUUUGUUGACACUCUUGUGCUUAUUUUUGUUCGUUAAUGUUUGUUGAAACUUAAUUUAGUACUUUACUGUUUAGAACUUGUCGAAAGCUUAAUUUGAUACUUAUGUUUUUCUUUUCCAAACAAUGGUGUAGUUAAAUUAUGUUAAUUUAAAUGAUGUAUUUGGAAUGUUUGUUAUGUGAAUUGUGUUGUGAGAUUUGGUAUAUUUAAUAUAUUUUGAGUUUUGUUUUGAAUGUAGAAAAAAAUAUAUAAUUAAAAUAAAAUUAUACUAUUAACAAAAACAGCAUAACAUCAAUAAAUACUGACAUUAAAUAUUUUAAAAUGACAUUAAUAAUUUUUUACGUUAAUGAAUCAAUGUGCUCCUGAUACUGUAGUCACAUUAAUCAUUGACAUGUAAAUAAUAUCAUCAAACAUGUAAAUAAUAUCAUCAAACACUAAUACCAUUGUGUCAUUAUUUUAGUGAUACUAUUGUGACAAAAAUUAUUGACACAAAAAUCACUGACACUGAAAAUUAGUGUCAGUGUGUUCUGGCUGGAGCAUUACUGACACAAUUAACAAGUGUCAGAAAAAGUAAUUACUGACACUAAUUUAGUAUCAGUAAAGCCCAUUUUUCUAGUAGUGUUUGUAUAUAAAAUUUUCCUAAGCAUUAAAAUGUCUUUAAUACUAGUUUUGCUCCUUUAUUUAUAACUCUACAAUUCAAUUAAGAAAUAGAAAAAAGUUAAGAGUCUUAGUUCUGUAAUAUUAGCUUUGCUUGUAGUGGCUAACACUGGAAGCAUGCUAAUUUCAGUCACUAGAACUUGCCAAGAAUCUAAUUUAGAUGCUACAUUUUCUAUUAAUCCUGUAGCAUUAUGUAACAAUUUCGAAUACUCAGGGCUUACAAGCAAAGGAUGUUUGAUCGAGAAUCAAAAGAGAUCUGACAAAAGACUAUAUCUAUGAUUUCCCCUUGGGUUGAUGCCAUUGAUUUUGUUAAUAAGUAAUUUCUUUUAUUUUGUAUGAAUACUUUUGUAAUAAUGAUCAGUUGUAAAAAAAUUGAAAUUCUGUUUUAAUAAAAAAAAGGAUGUUUAUCCAUAAUGGGUAUAUGAUGUGAUCUAUUAUGUGUGAGCGUUAUCCGGUGCGCUGCUUUUUUUAUACACAUCAUUGAAUCAAUUGUGAGAAAGUAGUUUAUUGAAUAAUAAAGAUGAAUAAGCAAUUAGAUCACUUUGUUAGUACCAUUUAUCCUAUUUCUACUUUACGUCUAUUGUUUUCAGGUUGCGGUUAUUUGUAUCUUAAAAAAUACUUUGAGCACUCAUGUUUUACUGAAGCUUAUAUUACUAAAUUGCAUAUGAUAUAAUUAAUUUAAUUAAUAUAAAAAAUUUCAUAUUAUUUUUGCCACUAAUUUACCACAUCCACGAAACAUACAAGCAGCUUUCUCUAACCUUAAUAAUUUAUAUGUCUUCCUAAAAAAUAAUACUUAAAAUAAAUAAAUAUUUAAUUAAUAUAAAAAAUUUCAUAUUAGUUUUGCUAGUAAUUUUCCACAUCACUAAAAAUACAAGCGUCUUUCUCUAACCUUAAUAAUUCCUAUGUCUUUCUCAAAUCUAGUACUUAAAAUUAACAAAUAUUUACUCAUUUUCAAUUAUCUAAACCUUUUGGCAUGAUGAUAUUUUAAUUAAAAUUCUCUUAAUUUCUUUCUAAGAGGGGAUUAGACUAACCAGCUUCAUGCACGUAAUAAUCAUAUGUCUGUAAUGCAUUAACAUAAAAUCAUUCAUUCUUUUAUGUUAAUUUCCUUUCUAGCUCUAAGGUUAUUGGAUAGCCUUACCAAGAUUUAAAUCUUGGAUUAGAGUUUCAUAUAGUAUGCAUAAUUGUUUAAUUAUUGGUAUAACCAAUAAUUGUUUUUAAAAAGAAAAAGAAAGGGAAAAAGAAAUGGUUGGACGAAUCUAUGUCUGGAAUACAAUUUAAUAUUGGUCAGUUUACUGCUUUCUAAUCCAUCUUUGGAAACACCCUUUUGUACUUAGGGAUAUACGGCUUAAUUGUCAUCAUCUUCUUUGCGGUAUGUGUUUUCGCUUCUCACUUUUCACUUUUCCUAUACUUUUCACAAAAGCAAUGCUUUGGCGGAUAAGCUAGCUAAUCUUUGUGUGCAUUUUCAUGAGUUUACUUGGUGGAGAUAGUUGUUAGGUGAUACUGAACUAGGAUAAUUUCCUAAUAUUUUACAAAUAUUGUGCCAUCUGUAUUUUAGUAUUAGUGUAUGAUUAAGAUUUAAUUAUUUUUAUUUUUUAAUUUAUUAACCACUAAUCACAUUUAUUAAAUUUACUUAGAAGAAGAUCAGAUAAGGAAAAGAUCCUGAUUGAGGUGAUAUUAGGCAACUUCUCUCAAAAAGAUUAUAAGGAUCUCCCUAAAUAUGGGUUUCAUUAAUUCUAGUAGGCUCUAUGUAUUGGCUUUAUCAUGCAUUAAUUUUUUCUUUUAUUGUACUGCUUUAACGCCUUUUUGCAUUACUGUUAUGCAUUGUGGUAAGACUCAUUACGUCUCCUUAACUAGGUGUCACUUUUUCAGUUAAUAAAGCUUUCCUCGUAGUGUCGGUGAAUAAUUAAAAAUUUUUGAUUUCCAACAUAAUCAAAUUCUUUUUUUUUUUUCUGAGAUAAACCUCAAAGCCUUAAAGCCUACAAUUUAUCAAACAAAUUAUUAGUAUCAAAAUGAAUCGUUGCAAACAUUUCUUGUAUCUCUUGGUAGACAAAAGAGAUAUCAUAGAUUUAAUACUUGGAUGUUGUAGCAUUGUUGUCAUGUAGCUUACAAUCUACCUUCGUCAACAUCCCCAAGUGUCGAAAUGCCAAAGGUUAACUUCAUCCCAAUAAUUUAUUGAGUUAAUUAAUCAUUCGUUAAAUAUUAAUUGUUAUUAAAAUUAAUUAUUAAACCCUGCGUACUACGUGAGAAGCGAGAAGAUAGUAAUUGCCCGCUGUACUUGGAAUGUUGUACAUGUACUUUGUAAUGAUUGUAUUUUACGGAUGAAAGUGGAAUUAAUAGCUCUGCAAUGCAUCCAAUAGUAAUACAAAAAAUAAAAUGUUGUUAGAGUAAAAGGAUUGAAAUAAUUAAUGUAAAUGAUAUGGCAAAAACAAAUUAUUGCUUGCUCCAAUCAUAAAUAAUAAUAUAUUGAUAUUUAUAAUUAAAAAUUACAUUUUCUACCCUCACAAAUUCUGUAAAUGAUAAAGGGACGUUCUUGUCAAAUAAUAAACAAUGUUUUAUCCUAUAAUUAAUUUAAUAUUUAUUUUAAUGUACUUGUAAUUAAUUUUGAAAUUGAAUUGUAUUAAAUUUAACGAAAUUUUAACACAAAUUUAUUAGAUUUACUAAAGAUAUUUUACACAGUUGCUAUUACAUAAAAGCUAUAGCACCGUAAUAACAAACAAACCUUUAGCUUCACUUCAUAUUGCAAAUUGUAUCUUGUGCAGAAUUAUCUCAUCCAAAGAAUGACUUAUACAAAUUAAAAGGAUAAAAGAUUCCUUAAAGAGAGGAAUCAUUUUAGAGAACAAGCAUGAGGAUUUUCAUCACUGAACAUGGCAUCAGUCAGUUCAUCAAAGAUAUGAGAAUAAGGUGAUUGCGGAUAGUAACCAAAAUCGCCACUGUAGCCAUGCUUUUCAUAGUUGUAUGAAGAAGAAGACUGCUAAAACAUGUAGUUGUUUGCGAUUGGAAUCUGGCUAUGAUGAUGAUGACACUGAUGCUAUAGCUAUCGAUAAUAGUAAUGUUGAGUGAAAUUUUGGUACUUUGGAUUGUAAGAAUAUGGCCACAGCUUGACACUCCUACCGGUUUUCUUUACUAUUUUAAGAACCUUCUUCUGGUCUUCCCAACCCAUUAAUGUCACCUUUUGCACGGCCAUAUCAAUGUCAUUGUUGUCCACUUCUAUGAACUUGUAUGAUGAAUCAAACUCAGCAGCAAGAUACGACACAAUUUUGAACUUGAUAUUACAGUUAGAAGGUCACGAGAUAAGCACAUACAUCUCUUAUGAUUUAUUAACAUCAAUACUACAUCAACAAGCAACUGUUUUUGAUAACUACUUAAGUGCUGCAUAUGAUGAACAUGUGAGAAGCUUUAAUCUAAUUCGGUAAAUCUGUUAUCUAUGUGUCGUAGAGCUAUGCAAUCUUAGUUUGUUAAGUUGUUACCGAUGCAGUUAUAUAAGUUGAUCAACGAAGCAGUUUUAAUUAUCAUUAAUUAGCAAUAUAGAGAGAGAUAAAAGAGAAAGAAAUUCUAGCUUAUUCUUGAUAGUCUCUUGUAAUUUUUUUGUGAAGAUUAUCCAUUGAUCAUCAAUAAAAGCUCAUAAGAAUGCUUCUCCUGUGGAUGUAGGUUGUGCCCAUUUUGGUACAGCUGAACUACGUAAAUCUCUUUGUUUCUUACCUAUGCUUGUCUUAAUUUUAGGUUUAUACUUAUUAUUUUGUUCUUUGAACCUUGUUGAUUGUUCUUGGUAUUUCAUUUGAUAAUUUAUGGUUCCAAUAUAUAAGCUAAACAUCUUGACAAGGCUUGCUUGAGAUCCACGGUAGUGCUUGGGCUUGUUUGGUUGAUUAGUAGGUCAAAACACUACAAUUGAUAUUAGAGCUUGGUAUUUUAAUAAGAUUCAAGUAUGGCUACUCCUAAGAUUGAUCUAGAAAAGUCUAAUGGCAUAAAUAAUUUCAAUAUGUGGAAAAUAAAGAUGGGGGCCUUGUUUAUCAAUCAAGGACUGGGGAAUGCAAUUGAACCAAUAUCUAAGAAAGAAGGAAAAGAAGUUUCAUCAUUCAAGAUCCCAUGGCAAGCAGUUGAAAUCGAUAAGAAGGUCAGAAGCACCAUAAUUCUAAGCCUUGGUGAUUUAGUCAUUAGAGAGGUAGUUAAAGAGAAGACGGUUGCAAACUUAUGGGUAAAACUUAAAAGUUUUUACGUGACUGAGUCUCUUGCAAAUAGACUCUACAUUAAAAAGAGAAUAUUUACCUUGAGAAUGGCAGAGGGAUCAUCUCUUGAACAACAUAUAAAGGAGUUCAAUAUGUGUGAUAGUCUGAAAACUAUAGAUGAGGGUUUGAAUGAUAAAUGUAAAGCUCUUCUUUUGGUCAGUUCCUUACCUAAGUCAUAUGAGCAUUCUGUUGAUGACGUAAUAUAUGGAAUGCAAACCUUAACUCUUGAUGAAGUUAAGGUAGCACUUAACACUAGAGAGUUACAAGGGAAACAAGAUGUUAUGGAGAAUGGAUCUAGCGAGGUUUUAACUACAAAGGGAAGAUAUGACAAGAAGAAAAAAAAGAAAAGGAAACAAGAGAAGCAAAAAAACAAGUUAAGGACUUGGAAAUAUUUUCAUUAAUUUUCAUAAAGGAGGCCACUUCCAGAAAGAUUGUCCGGAAAGAAAGAAUAAGCCUAAAGAAUCAAAGAAUCAAAGUGGAAAUUUAGCCAUUGUAGAAGAAGAAUGAUAUGAAUUAGUAGGUAUGUGUAUAAUAACUAACAACAAUAAAAAAUGUAAAUGGAUUUUAGAUUCAAAUUGUACCUUUUACAUGAGCCCUUUUAAGAAUUACUUUACUGAAUGUCAUAAGUCUGAUGAUGGUAAAAUGAUGAUGAGGAAUAAUGACAUAUGUAGUCAUUAGAAUAGGCGAUUUGAAUCUUAGGUUACGUGGUAAGACCAAAAUGGAGAUUAAAACAAGUCAGGCAUGUGCUUGAUUUGAAAAGAAAUCUAAUUUCUUUGGUGAUGUUUGAUCAAAUAAUGCAUAACAAUAGGCUUAAAUUAGGAGUCCUGAGGGUGAUGAAUGGCUCUACAGUAGUGAUGAAGGGUCCUAGAAAGAAUGGAGUAUAUGUUCUUGCUGGUGAAGUCGUAGUUGGUGAAUCUAGAGUAUCAUUAGAUAAUAACAUUGAUAAAACCAAGUUAUGGCACUUAAGGCUGAGAGAUGUGAGUGAAAAUUGUCUCAAGGAACUUCAAAAGGAGGCUGUAUUAUGAGAGGAUAAGAUUGGCAGUCUAGGGUCCUAUGAAGACUGUGUGUUAGGGAAAUCAACAAGGGCUAGCUUCAAGAGAUCUAUCUAUAAAUCAGAUAAAAUUUAGGGCUAUUUAUAUUCUAAUUUUUUAAGACCUUUACAAGAACUAUCCUUGGGUGGUAACAUGUAUUUUUUUAUCCUUUAUUGAUGAUUUUGCAAGGAAAGUCUGGACUUAUAUCUUGAAGAAUAAGGAUUAGGUGUUUGAAAAGUUUAAAGAAUAGAAGUGUUUGGUAAAAAAAUCAACUAGGGAUGAAAGUUGAAAAACUAAAGAUAGACAAUGGCUUAAUGUUUUGUAAUCAGAAACUUGGGAGUUAUUGUGCAAAUGAGGGGAUAACUAGACAUAUAACAGUAAGGUUAACACUUCAACAAAAUAGGCUGGCUGAAAAAAUAAACAGGACACUUAUAGAGAAAGUAAAGUGUAUGCUCAUUCAAUCUAAAUUUCCACAGUCUAUUGGUAGAAACUUGAUGACAACAACCUAUCCAGUGAAUUUAAGUCCUUCAUUAACCAUAGGUUUUAAGACACCUUUUAAAAUGUGGGCUAGUAAACUAGCAAGUUAUGAAAGCUUUAGAGCAUGUGUUGUUCUACUUAUGCUCGUGUAAAUCUAAGAAAACUUGCACCAAGAGCUUUCAAAGAGGUGUUUAUAGGCUAUCCAGAAGAGUGAAAAGGUAUAACAUUUGGUGCGCUAAUCCAAAUGUAUAAUUAGCAGGGAUGUGGUCUUUAAUAAGAGUGAAUUGCUAGACAAAAAAAAACCUGCUAAAGUAACAAUCCUUGAUAGAUAGUCUACUGAUAAAUUAGAGUUUAAGGCGGAGUCAUCUAAUCUCAAGAACAUUGAAGAAGCCGUAGAUUCUUAAAAUAUUGGUAUUAAUUAAAAUAAAACUGAGGAAGCUCAACAAACAACUCAAUUAGAAUAAUGUUUGCAAGAAUAGAGUUACCAACUUACCAAAGAUAAGGAAGAAAAAAAGCAAAUAAAACCACCUAAAAGGUUUGGUUAUGUAAACCUAAUUGCCUUUACUUUAGUUAUUGCAUAUAAUGUUGAUGAUAAAGAAACUAAGAGUUUUAAAAAGGCUAUACAAAGUCCUUUUAAGAGUAAAUGGCAAAAAGUAGUAGAUGAGGAAAUUGCCUUUCUAUAUAAAAAUGAAACCUGGGAACUGGUUAAAAAACCUAUAAACAGAAGGGUGGUUAGAAGUAAAUGGAUCUUCAAGAUUAAAUAAUGCUUGAUUAGACCUGAACCCAAGAGAUUCAAAGCAAGGGUUAUAGCAGAAAGGUAUAUAUAGAAGGAGGGGGUUGACUUUAAAGAAGUAUUCUCUCCUAUUGUCAGACAUGCUUUAAUAAGGGUGAUUUUAGUCUUAACUAUAGUUGAAGAUAUGAAGCAUGAUCAACUUGAUGUUAAGACUGCCUUAUUGUAUAGUAAACUUAAAAAAGAAAUACUUAUUUUCCAACAUGAAAGGUAUGAAAACUCUAAGAAGAAAGAUCAUGUUUGAUUACUGAAGAAAUCACUAUAUGGGUUAAACCAAUCCCUAAGGCAAUGGUAUCUAAAGUUUGAUGAGUUUAUAGUGUCAAAUGGUUUCAAGAGGUGCAAUUAUGACUGUUAUGUCUACUUUAAAGUAGUGAAAGAAAGUGUAUAUGUAUAUUUUAUACUAUAUAGAGGUAAUUGAAGAUCUGAAGAAAGUUUGAUGAGUUUAUAGUGUCAAAUGGUUUCAAGAGGUGCAAUUAUGACUGUUAUGUCUACUUUAAAGUAGUGAAAGAAAGUGUAUAUGUAUAUUUUAUACUAUAUAGAGGUAAUUGAAGAUCUGAAGCUAUUGUUAAACUUAAAGCUUGACAUGAAAGAUCUGAGCUAAGCUAAGAAGAUUUUAGGUGUGGAGAUCAGAAAGAGCAAAAAGAGUGGUUCGUUAUUUCUUUCACAAGAAAAAUAUCUGAGGAAAGUGUUAAUUGUAUAAAAAAAUGAUUGACUCUAAAGCAGUUCAAACACCUUUGGCUUUUUAUCUCAGGCUUUAUAGUUCACAGUGUCCUACAACAGAUAAAAAGAAGCAUGAAAUAGUCUGAAUUACUUAUGAAAAUGAAGUGGGGUGUUCGAUGUAUGUAAUGGUCUUAACAAGGCUUGAUAUUGCACGUGUUGUCAGUGUUGCUAGCAGCUAUAUGGCCUCAGCCAGAAAGUAACAUUAGAGAGUUGAUAAAUGGAUUAUAAGGUAUCUAAAUGUUACUUUAAACUGUGGACUAAUGUAUGGUAGAAGAAAAGGUAAAAACGAGGCUUAUAGGGUUAUGUAGACUCUGAUUUUGCUGGUGAUUUAGACAAAAAGAAAUCAUGCUCAAUAAAUGUGUGGUCAACUGAAAGGCUAUAUACUGUAACAUGUACUUGCUCUCUCAACUACUAAAGUUGAGUAUACAACUAUAACAAAAGUUGUAAAAGAGCUUUUAUGGCUCAAAGAACUGAUAUAUGAAAUGAGGGUAAUGCAAAAGACAGUAAUAAUGUUUUGUAAUAGGUCUAGUGUUAUUCAUUUGUGCAAGAAUUCAGCAUAUCAUGAGAAAAUAAAGCUUAUAGAUGUUAAGUUGCACUUCAUCAGAAAUGAAGUUUCAAAGGGUGUUGUCAGAGUGGUGAAAAUCUAUAAAGAUGAAAACUCAGCUGACACACUUGAAAUACUAACUACGCAACCCAAGAGGGGGGGGGGGGAUGAAUUGAGAUUUUAAAAUUUAAGCUAAGCAAACCACACAACAAUUUAAUCUAUUGCCUUAAUCAAAUUGAAAACAAUAAAUUCAAUCAUGCACAAUAUUAAAAGAGUAAGGGAAGAGAAAACAAACACAAGGAUUUUUACGUGGUUCGGUAAUCCCCGCCUACGUCCACGCCUCCAAGCUCUCCCAUUUGAGAAUUUCACUAUCCAAGUCUCCCAAGACUUCAAGUUUUUACAAUUGACUUCCAAGGUGCCAAUGAACCUUUACAAUUAAGAGAUUAUCUCCCCAAUCUCUUCACCCCAAGUGUUUCUCACACUUGUACACUCACAAUUUGAUGAGAAAUGAAGAUUACAACAAUGAAACUCUCUUUAAGAGUGGAUAUACAAAUGAUAGCUCAAUGAAGAUUUAAUCUAUGAUGAUUUUCGAAUUUGAAGCUCAAUAUAAGUUGUGUGCACUUGUUUAUCCUUGCAAAGAUUACUAAAAAUGAAUUGGAUUUGAGUUUAUAUAGUUUGAGCUAAAAAACUAGCCGUUAUGCACAUUUUGGUUAUAACCGGCUUACCGUUUAUGGAAUCCGGUUAGCCGCUUUUAUGUUACCGUUAAGGUAAAAAUAAAUUUCAGAAUAUCUGGCAUGCCGCUUUUCAUAUCCGGUUAGCCGCUUUUAAAAUUCGGAUAGCCGCUUGCGAAAUCCGGAUAGCCGCUUAUCAUAUCCGGUGAGCCGCUUGCUACAGUAACUGCUACAAUGAAAUAUUUUUUGAAAUUAUAGUUUGACCCCAAAACUUUAUAAAACUAUAGUAUGGCCCAAAACGUUAUGAAAUUUUUCAAAUAGAUCAAAUUUCAUAAUUUCUAAAUAAUACUUUGUUAAUCGCAAAACUUUAUGAAAUUAUGAUAUGACCCAAAAUAUGUGAAAUUGUAGAAUGACCCAAAAUAUUUAAAUAUUUUUAAAUAGGUCCAAAUCUGAAAUUUUAAGCAAUACUUGUUGAUUUCAAAGUUUUCAAAACUCUUUCAAUUAAACCAUAAACUUGAAAAACAACUCAUUUCAUAAAAUCAUUUUUUUCAUUAAAUAUAAAACCUCUAUAAUGUGAAACUAAUGAUUUAUUUAAUAUGUAUAAAAAAAUAAUUUGAGCUUUUAAAAACUUAAUCAUUCUUAAUAUUGUUUGUUAUCAUCAAAAUCAACAUUGUGGAAACAUAUAUGUUAACAAUCUCCCCUUUUUUUAUGAUGACAAACAUUUCAUGUAUUUGAAGAAUGAUCCACAAACUGCUCCCACUAAAUGUAAUCUUCUUUUACAUAAAAACUUAAUAAUUCUUAAUAUUGUUUGUUAUCAUCAAAAUCAACAUUAUGGAAACAUAUAUGUUAACAAUCUCCCCCUUUUUGAUGAUGACAAACAUUUCAUGUAUUUGAACAAAGGCAUCAUGAUAAAUCACUCAAUGUUAUACACAAUGAUAAUUACAUCAUGUAAACAUACAAGCAUACUUCGCAAAUUCAUUUAUCAUGAUUCAUUCAACAAAAUCAAUAUGACAAGAAUUGUUACCAAAACAAUUAAAUCAUCUUACCUCAUCUUUUUCUCCUAGAUCAUACUCAAGUGAUUAUCCUCACAAGUUUUCAUCAAGGAACUCUCCACCAUUCCUUGAUUGUGGUACCUACAAAGAAAACAUUCACGUUUUGCCCUUUGGUACCCAAAUACUCUUGGGUCCUUGAGUGUUAGCAAUGGUUCUUUUUGGAACUUAAACACAUUUUACUCCAUAAUAUACUUUUCUUUUAAUAGGACAACUAAAACUCAUAUGACCAUUUUGAUUGCAAUAAUGACAUACAAUUUUAUCAUUAACGGAGGUAUUCUUCACAAAGUAGUUCUUAUAAUACUUUUGUUUCAAAUUAGGCUUAUAGCCAAUACCUCAUUUAUCAAAUACACAUUUUUGAGAGUUGAUCAAUUUUUCUAAGUUCUUUUGACCAUUUGUGAAUUUUAACACAACAUCACUAAGUUCAAUGUUCAUUUUCUUGAGCAUUUCAUUUUCCUUUUUCAAAUCAUCUACAUGUGGCUUUAGAUGCUCAUGUGCAGUGCUUGGUUUCUCAUUUGAUAAUGCAACUCUAUUAUGCAAAAUUUUAUUCUCUAAUUCUAGUCCUUUAAUCUUUUCAUUUAAUGAAUCAUUGCAUUUUUGUAAAGCAUCCCUUUCAUUUUUCAAGUCAUCUACAUGGGAUUUUAGAUGCUCGUGUGAAGUGCUACAUUUCUCAUUUGAUAAUGCAACUUUAUCAUGCAAUGUUUUAUUCUCUAAUUCUAGGCAUAUAAUCUUUGCACUUAGAGAUUCAUUUUCAUUUGUGAGCUCUACCAUUUUCUUUUUAAGACAUGCAUUCUUUUUACCAAUUUUCAUCCACUCAUCAUGCAAUUCUUUAAACGCAUCAUGUAAUUCAUCAUAAGUAGGAAGAUCAUUUACCUCAUCAAGUUCAUCAUCCGAUUCAUCUCCAAUUGCCAUAAGUGCAAAAUUCAACACUUCAUGAAAUUCCUCCUCAUUUGUAGUCUCCUCAUACACAACUUCAAGUUUUCUCCAAAUUUCAUAAGCAUUAGACCAAUUUGAAACUUUAUGAAAUUCCUUUUUAUCUAAGGCACAAAAUAAAGCAUUCAUAGCCUUGGAAUUUAAAGACAUAUUUUUCUUAUCCAACUCACUUAAAGCAUUCUUCCUAGGAAUGAAUGAAUCAUCACAAACAACAUCCCAAAUUUCAUAAUCUAAAGCUUGUAAAUAAAUUAUCAUCGUAGUUUUCCAAUAUGGGUAGUCAUUACCGUCAAAAAACGGUGGUCUAGUUGUUGAUUGUCCUUCCCUAAAGGUUGAGUCAUUUUGGGUUGCCAUUGAUCUUUUACUCUAGAUGGUUAAGUCCUAACAAGAGAACCACGCUCUAAUACUAAAUGAAAUACUAACUAGGCAACCCAAGAGGGGGAGGGGGGGUGAAUUGAGAUUUUAAAAUUUAAGCUAAGCAAACCACACAACAAUUUAAUCUAUUUCCUUAAUCAAAUUGAAAACAAUAAAUUCAAUCAUGCACAAUAUUAAAAGAGUAAGGGAAGAGAAAACAAACAUAAUGAUUUUUACGUGGUUCGGCAAUCCCCGCCUACGUCCACGCCUCCAUGCUCACCCGCUUGAGGAUUUCACUAUCCAAGCUUCCCAAGGCUUCAAGUUUUUACAAUUGACUUCCAAGGUGCCAAUGAACCUUUACAAUUAAGAGAUUAUCUCCCCAAUCUCUUCACCCCAAGUGUUUCUCACACUUGUACACUCACAAUUUGAUGAGAAAUGAAAAUUACAACAAUGAAACUCUCUUUAAGAGUGGAUAUACAAAUGAUAGCUCAAUGAAGAUUUAAUCUAUGAUGAUUUUCGAAUUUGAAGCUCAAUAUAAGUUGUGUGCACUUGUUUAUGUUUGCAAAGAUUACUAAAAAUGAAUUAGAUUUGAGUUUAUAUAGUUUGAACUCAAAAACUAGCCGUUAUGCACAUUUUGGUUAUAACCGGCUUACCGUUUAUGGAAUCCGGUUAGCCGCUUUUAUGUUACCGUUAAAGUAAAAAUUUAAAUUUCAGAAUAUCUAGCAUGCCGCUUUUCAUAUCCGGUUAGCCGCUUUUAUGUUACCGUUAAGGUAAAAAUUUAAAUUUUAGAAUAUUUGGCAUGCCGCUUUUGAAAUCCGGAUAGCCGCUUGCAAAAUUCGGAUAGCCAUUUAUGCUCCAGAAGCUUACUGUCCAAAAUUCGGAUAGCCGCUUAUCAUAUUCGGUUAGGCGCUUGCUACAGUAACUGCUACAGUAAAAUAUUUUCUAAAAUUAUAAUUUGACCCCAAAACUUAAUAAAACUAUAGUAUAGCCCAAAAUAUUAUGAAAGUUUUCAAAUAGAUCCAGUUUCAUAAUUUUUAAAUAAUACUUUGUCAAUCCCAAAAUUUUAUGAAAUUAUGAUAUGACCCAAAAUAUGUGAAAUUGUAGAAUGACCCAAAAUAUUUAAAUAUUUUCAAAUAGGUCCAAAUUCGAAAUUUUAAGCAAUACUUGUUGAUUUUAAAGUUUUCAAAACUCUUUCAAUUAAACCAUAAACUUGAAAAACAACUCGUUUCAUAAAAUAAUUUUUUUUCAUUAAAUAUAAAACCUUUAUAAUGUGAAACUAAUGAUUUAUUUAAUAUAUAUAAAAAAUAAUUUGAGCCUUUAAAAACUUAAUCAUUCUUAAUAUUGUUUGUUAUCAUCAAAAUCAAUAUUAUGGAAACAUAUAUGUUAACAACACUCACUAAAGUUGUUCUUGUUACUAAGUUCAAGUUGAGCUUGGACCUAACUGGUUUAAGUAAUUUCUAACAAUUACUUGAUUUAGAGGAGUAUGAGUGAGGAGUAUUGGUUUAAGAUAGAGAAUUGUGAAGCUAUAUGAUGAAUUAAACUCAGCAGCAAGAUACGACAUUGUUUUGAACUUGAUAUUACAGUUAAAAGUUCACAGUAUAAGCAUAAGAUUAGAAGUUCACUGGAUAAUAGCAUGAUCUUUUAUGAACUAUUAACAUCAAUACAACAUGAACAAGUAGCCGAUUUUUAUAAUUGCUUAAGUGUUGCACGUGAGGAACGCAUGAGAAACUUUUAGUCAAGUUCGAUAAAGCUGUUAUCCAUGUGUUGUAGAGCUGUGCAAUCUAGGUUCGUUAAGUUAUUACUGAUGCAGUUAUAUAAGCUGAUCAGUGAAGAAGUUUUGAUUAUCAUUAGUUAGCAAUAUAGAGAGAGAUAGAAGAGAAAAAAAGUCCUAGGUUAUUCUUAAUAGUCUCUUCUAAUUGCUAUGCAAAGAUUCUCCAUUAAUCAUCAAGAAAAACUCACAAGAACGCUUCUCUUAUCGAUGUAGGUUGUGCCUAUCUUAGUACAACUGAACCACGUAAAUCUUUUUAUUUCUUCGUUGUGCUUGUUUUGAUUUUAGGCUUAGACUUUGUUAAUUUAUUCUUUGAAGCUUUUUUAUUGUUCUUGGUAUUUCAUUGAUAAUUUUUUGUUUCAAUCUACAGAUUAAGCAUCUUGACAAGACUUACUUGAGAUCCAAAGUGGUGCUUGAUUAGUAGGUCAAGAACACUACAACUCCUGCAAUUCAAUCAUUAGAUUAUUGCUUGAGACGUAUCAAUUUACCAGAUGAUCAUAUUAAAUAAUCACUUAUAUGUAUGUGUGUAUAUAUGCACCAUUUAUUUUUUUAAGAUCUAUUCUCAUCUCUACGAUCUAUUCAUAGGCAAAAAUCGAUUAAUAAGAUGAACAAAAUUACAUGUAUUAAUAUAGGUUACGGAGAUCAAGAUAUAUAUAUUUUGGUUGUAAAACAUCGGUUUAGUCAAGAUCUUUCUUUACUCUCGAGUAUAUUAACCUAAAAAAAGUAGUGGCGGUACUAGAGCAUAUCCAUUAAAAGAGUUGCGUCCUUGCAUGUGACAUACAUGUUUUUUCUAACUUCAUGCGCAAGAUACUGAGAAAGCACCCAGAGCACUUUCUGUAUAAAUUCCUAAUAGCUACUUCUUUCAAAAGAAAAUCGAAGAUAUUUUGACAACAAAUAAUAAUAUUAAGCAUGCUCCAGAAUGAAGCAACUAUAUACCAAGCACUAAAAACUUGGCAAAAUUGCCAGUUUCCCACAAUAAUAUAACACAAAUAUGUUCAUGCACAUAGGUCCUAAACACAUCACACAAGCAGAUGUAUGAAUUAAUAAUGGAAAAGAAUGAAGAGAGGGGGCUCAAGCUAUCAUGUCAAAGAAGGUGAUUCUAACUUCUGUUGUUAAGCUUUGAACAUGAAGAAAUAUUGAGAACACAAUCCAUAUAUAUAGAAUUACAGAUAGAUCACAAAGAAUCGUUUCUCUAAUAAGCCUUGUGAGAAAAGACAAGCGGGAACUGGCUUACUAAUUUGAUAGGAAAAACAAAGUCAAAAUGAAAUCAUGUCUUGUAGAAAGACACUUUUAGAAAACUAUGUUUAAUUUAUAAGACAAAAAUGAUUUACGGUGAUAGAACUAUAAGUGAUUUUAUUUGAAUUUAUAUUUUUGUAAAUAACAGGAUUAAAAAUGCAGGGUGAAAGGGGUUGACAGAGACAAAAUGAAGUUUGACUAUUGCUUUAACUUUAAAUAUAUUGUAAUAAUAAUUUUAUUUUUUGGGUACUUGAAGACCAGAAUAUGAAAGAAAAUACUUUAUAAUAUAAGAAAUGUUUAAGAAUUUUGAUCUCCCAAGAAUAAGAGACAUCACUAUAUGAACUAUGAAACUGUCAACACUAUAUGUCUGUAUCCUGAUAAUAGGCUGGCAAGAUACCUACUUUUUUAACUUGUCCAAUUCCUAGACUGAUGAUUAAACUUUGAAGAUAGAACCACAACACAAUGUUGCAUUUUUUUUUUCACAGUAUUUCAAAUCAAUUACCUGUUAUCAGAGACAAACACUCAAAAUGGUCAAAGGGAAAACUGAAAAACUACAGGCUUGUAUCAUCUAACUUCACUACAUUGAACUUAAAUCAUUAGGUAUAAGAGAGCCUGUAGCAUUCAAGAAUGAAACAGGUGAACAGAACUUUCUAUACACUUGAAGAAGCUAAAAAGAAAAGAAAGAUAAAGGAAACUUGUGUAAGAUAAAAAGUCUACAAAAAAUUAACCAGUCUAUUCAUGCAAUGUUUCUUUUUCAGCAAACUUUCGCAGGCUAGUGAAGUUAGAGUUACCUGAUUAAUCAAAAAGUCAGGCACUAUCUUUAUCAUCUAAAGGCAUGAGAAAAAGACUAGCUGGUCAAUCAUUCUCUUCUUCAAUUACUUUUUCAGCAUCUGUGUCCUUGCUCCGAACUUUCAAAUUUCUUGCUUGAACUUUGCCAGCUUCAGAGUCUACAUCUAAGCCAUAAUUACGCUUCUUAGCUGCAAUUGCAUCUUGGUUCCCGUAUAUUAUUUGUUCCUAAGGAACCCUCUACAUAAACUUUCUUGCUCUUACUUGCCAUUUUUUAUUUGCAUUUCGCUGGAGGAUGUUAAACUAAUAAAUUAUAUGUUAGGCGCAAAUAUAAAGGGGCAAGGGCAGUUUUAGCAAUUUUGCUCAUUCACUAAUUAAAGCUCAGGUAUAAAUAAGAGAUUAAGGAUUCAUUUAGGGUUUAUGCUGAGUUUUGUCGAGUAUUAGAAGUCAUUAAAAGUUUUGGGAGAGAUUGACUCGCCUCUCGAAUUGUAGGUCAGGAUUGUUCUUUUUUAUUCAAUUAAUAAAAAUCAUCCCUAAUGUAGAGCUUUGAUUGAUCUAAUUAACUUGUCAAACUAAAGACUCUGCCCAAGAUCUUGAUUGAGAUCAACAAGUUGCACAAGCACUUAAAUGAAUAUGAAUCAACUCGAGACUCAAUUAACCAGACUUAAACUUUCAAGAACAAUAUCGAGAUAAAGGAACAAAAUGAAACAGAAACAAACACAUAGAGAAAGCAAGAGAUAAUGUGGUUCAGUCUCUUCAGAGACCUACAUACACGAGUGAAAACACCAGAGCUGUUUCCAUUGAUUCAUGAAGAAAUACAAGUAUCUAGAGAGGAGUUUACAGAGCUCAAGAAUCACCUUCUUCUCAACUGAACAACUCUCUAGAACACUCUCGAAAUCACACCUUUAAUGAGCUGGUGAACUAGUUUUAUAUAGCUGAUGAUAAACUUAGAACUCAGAAUGCACAGCUGCUUCCCACGUGUCCAGGCCGUUAAACAGAACAAAAUGAGCUUAAGUGAACACGUGACUGGCACGAGCAACUUCGUUAUUUCUAUUAUGAGCAAAAUGCAAGGCUGGGCGUCAUUUUAUUUAUGAAGAUCACGAGCUUACUCACGUGGCUUCAUAACGUAUCUGACCACUACUCUAAACGCCGUCGUUUGGUUAUGCUUGUGUUUAGAUUCAUUUGGUCUACAUUUAAUUUAACCGUAAGCCUUAUCAAAGUGGUAUCAGAGCAAAAAUCCUAGGACAAUGAUAGUGAAAAAGGUGGACGCUCUUGAAAAGAAAUUCAAAGCAGAAGUUGGAUCGCUCAAGCCCACCAUUAACGAGCUGUUUAACACUAUUCAACAAUAGUUUUCAUCCCUUCAAGCCACGUUACUGAAAUUGACGGAAUCCACCUCGAUAGACCACGACGGCGUGGCCAGAAAAGGAUCCGAUGGUACGAGACCCAUGGUCAGCGCUGGCGCAGAGGGCUGAAAACCACUAACCUCACACAGCCAGAGGCGAUGGGUCAUGGUAAAUUUGGUGGCGAGGAGGUUGGCCCAAGUGACUCUCAUCUUAAGGGAGCCUUUCUAAACAUCGGGUACAGCGGAGGAAGCUAGGUCGCAGCUGGAGGUGGUGGAUUUGAGGGUUACACGACUAAAGGAGAUAACUUAAAGUUAAGAAUCAACAUCUCGGCACCAAAAUGGGGUGUGUGUUAGUCAGGGGUGGCCGAGCUUGGUAACUCAGUAGCGUUUAGGGGUGAUGCACAGCCUGGGUAGGACAGAUUUUGGGCUGAGUCUUCAGGAUUUAUGGAAACUAGAGUAGAUUUGAAAGGUUAAAGAACUUCGAUAGCUCGAAAUUGGGCGGUGCAGACUUAGCUUGGGACAAAUUAUAAGGUUAAAAAACUGAAAAUGCCCAUUUUUCGAAGGCAAGGAUGCUUAUGGAUAGGUGUAUAGGGUAGAGCACUAUUACACCAUCAAUAGAAUCUCAAAAAGAAAAAAAUUGAUGGCAACAACUUUAUGCUUCAAAGGAAAGGCCUAUGUGUGGUUUCAUUGGUAAGAACAACAACAACUAUUGAGGUCAUGGGGUGAAUUUAGGAAUCGACUGUUAGAGAGGUUUUAGGCCACACAACAGAGAGAUUUACAUGAACAGUAUUUUGCCUUGACCUAGGAGAGAACGCUCAUGGAGUAUAGCAAGAAGUUUGAGUUGCUAUCAGGGCACCAAGGGGGAAUCACAGAUGCGUUAUUGGAAGGGAAUUUUAUGAAGGAAAUGAAGCUGGAAAUCUGACCCGUGCUACGCUUGCUAAGGCCGAGAGGGUCAGGGCAGACAAUGAAGUUGGCACAGAUGAUUGAGGAUAAAAACAUAGCAGAACAAGAUAAUAGGAGCAAUUUAGUUGGUUUUUAUACCAAAACAACACACCAUUGGUAGGACAGAAAACCCAGACCUUGGGGUUUCAGCAAGAGUUCCAAAGCACACCGCUGGAAGGCUAGAAAAAAAUGUAAAUGGUGGGGUUACAGACAGAUUCCUAAAGCGAUCGGGUUAGUGGGACACAACUGAGGGCGACUUUCAAAUGCCUUAUAGAUAUUCAGGAUAAAAGGGCAAGAGUUGUGUUUUCAAUGCGAUGAGAAAUUUACAGGUCUUGACUGUAUGUGAAGAGGAGGAAGAAAGUGGUGAAGGAAGAACAUCCUCAUUUGGAUAUAGCUAAGGUGGUGGAGGAAGAACAUCACUUAAAACCAUGAUAAAGGCAAUUCAGGAUACGAGGCAGAGAUUCUUAGUGAAGCUGCAUAGCCAGGAAGAGGGACAGACAGAGGCAUCAACGGUUAUUCUAGAACUGAUUUAGUAGUUGUUGGAGUGAUUUAAGGGGCUUUUCCAGAUGCCCAAUGGCCUACCUUCGCGACAAGAACAUGAGCACAUGAUAGUGUUGAUGGAAAAUGCCUCUUCUACUAGUGUCUGGCCAUACCUAUAUCCCUAGAUAUAAAAGGAUAAGAUUGAGAGGCUAGCUAAGGAAAUAUUGGAGGCUGAGAUAAUACAACCAAGCGUUAGUCCGUUUUCGAGCCUAAUCUUGCUAGUAAAAAAAAAAAAAAUGGGAGCUAGAGAUUUUAUAUUGACUAUCGAGCCCUGAACAAGAAAUUGUGCUUGACAAGUUUUCUAAUUUGAUGAUCGAUGAGUUCUUGGAUGAGUUGCAUGAGUGACGGUGUUUCCAAAGAUAGAUUUGAAGUCGAGAUAUCACCAUAUUCAGAUGUGACCAGAGGAUGUGCGAAAGACUACAUUUCAGACUCAUGAGGGACAUUAUGAAUUUUUUGUCAUGUCGUUUGGGUAUGGCUUCACAAAUACGCCGACCUUUUUUUUGUCAUUGAUAAAUAAGGUAUUUAAGCUAUAUUUAAGAAAGUUUUUCCUUGUUUUCUUUGAUGACAUCUCGGUCUACAGUUGCACUUCGGUUGAUCAUGUGGGUCAUUUGGAGUUAAUGUUGACGGAGUUACACAAACAUCAAUUGGGGCAUGUGGUGUCAGCUGAAGGGGUUUUAGCAAAUCAGUCUAAGAUAGCGGCAAUGCUGGAGUGGUCUCUACCUAAGACACUAAAGGAGUUGAGGGCUUUUUAAGGCUCAUUGGAUACUAUCGAAAUUUUGUGAAGGGGUAUAGCACCAUUGGAUGGCCUCUAAUAGAGAAGUUGAAGAAUGAUAGUUUUCACUAGGGAAAGCCGCGACGCAGGCUGGCAAUGAUUAAUGUUCUGAUGCUAGCAUUACCGAAUUUUAGCCAACCAUUUAUCAUAGACACAGAUGCCUCGACGUAUAGGUUAGGAGCAGUUCUCAUGCAAAAUCGGCACCCAAUUUGCUAGUUCAGCCAAGUGUUAAAAGCUAGGGUAGCUCAAGUCAGUUUAUGAGCAUGAACUCAUGGCGAUUGUUGUAGCUAUUCAGAAAUGGAGGCCAUACCUCUUGUUCCUGUUAAAGCAAUAGAUGAUGAUUGAAGAACACCAAUGCUGGUUGUCGAAGUUACUAGGCUAUGAUUUUGAUAUCAGUACCGGCCGAGGUUAGAGAAUAAGGUGAUUGAUGCCUUAUCAAGAUUGAAAACUUAUGUUAGGCGCAAAUAUAAAGAGGCAAUGGUAGUUUAGUAAUUUACUUAUUCAUUAAUUAGGGCUCAAUUAUGAAUAAGAGAUUAAGAAGUCAUUUAGGGUUUAUGCUGAGAUUUGUCAAGUAUUAGGAGUGAUUAAGAGUUUUGGGAGAGAUUGAUUGAUCUAUCAAAUUAUAGGUUGGGAUUGUUCUUUUUUUAUUCAAUUAAUAAAAAUCAGCCCUAAUUUUGCUCUAAGCGCAAUUAGAGGAUUGUGAGAACCGCCAAUGACAAUUGUUUCUUCAUCAUGUUUUCCACUGCUUUUGCUGGAGUUAGCCACCAAAUAAAAAAUACCCUCUAAGGCAUCUGUUUCUUCAUCAUUUGACUCCUCAGCAAAUUCGUCAUCCUCUUCAGUCUUUUGUUUCAGAGACUCAAUCGCCUCCAUCAACUCUCUAUUGACCUGUCAUGGUGAAUCUCCACAAACUAUAUAAGCUAAAAUUGAGGAGAUUUUAUAAUAAUGCAGUGAGUUUCUAAGAAGAAUAAAAUAAAAAACAAAAUGCUGAAAGUUUCAAGAAUAUGUUUCAUUUGCGUGUGGUUACAGAAUCACUAGUUUUACAUUAUUAUUUUUGUAUCAUCUAAGCAAUUAACAAUAAAAUAAAGCACCAUAUUCUCUACUCAGAUAUAAAUGUGAUUUGUACAGCUAUGCAAAUUUCUUACUUGAGGGUCUUGAGAAAAUCUAAAAUGUCACUUGUGCAAGAAGGGCAUUUCAUGAUGGUUUUCCGUGAUCGAAGUGUCCAUCCACCUCUGCUUUUUUCUCUGACAAAACUCUUACCAGAAAAUGCCUCUUCCAAAUAUGACUUUCAAAAGUUAUGAGCACAAGGAAUCGCUACUAGUUGUGCUAUUAGUUGCUUACAGAGGAAGCAACUAAACUUUUAUCACGGAAAAAUUCCAAAUUGGAUAUAAAUAUCAUAUUUCUAAAAGUAAUAUUAAUGUGAGGCUUUAAUAAAUCUUUCUAAGUUCACCCAAAAUUGUUUAUUAAAAUUAUAUUUUUGCCUAAAAUGUUUUGUAAUUGUAUUAUGGCCUAAAAUGUCAUAAACUUUACAAAAAAGUCCAUUUUAAAAUUUCUAAAUAAUGUUUAUUAUUUCUAAAACUUUUUAAAAUUAUAGUACGACCCAAAAAUUUAUAAAACUUUUCAAAGAGGUCAUAUUUAGAAUUUUAACAUAAUACUUAUUUAUUUCAAAGUUAUCAAAACGUUUUCACUUUAAUCCAAAAUUUAAGAAUUUGAAAUUUGCCUCGGCGGCUAGCUACUAGCCCUCAGGCAGUUAGCCGCUAACUCUCUGUCCAUUUUUAAUAUUUAUACUUUAGCUCUAAAACUUUUAAAAAUUAGAAUAUAACUUAAAACGUUUCAUAUGUUUACAAAUAAGUCCAAAUCCAGAAUUCAAAGCAACACUUAUUAAAAUCAAAGAUUGCAAAACUUUUUCAUUUUAGUCCACAUCUUGAAAAACAACUAAUUUCAUAAAAUACUUAGUUUAUAAUUGCAAAACCUUCUGUUUAUGAAAAAUCAUGAUUUAUUAAACAAAAUCUUGAGCUUCUCAAAUGCUAAACCAUGCAUAUAUUAGAACUUACCGGCUUUACAAGAAUUGUCAUAAUAAUAACUCCGUUGAGCUUAACACUUGUUCUUGAUCGAGCCGUUGUCCGUUGAGUGUCUUAAGCUAGAUUUCUCUUGAUUCACUUACAUAAAUAUUAUCCUUCAAGAACCAGUAAAAAUAUGAAAUACAAUAUUUAUCAAAUCAUUUAGGACACAUAUUUUUUAUCAUCAAAACCACAUAAUGUGUAGCUCUUUAGGCUAACAUUUACAAGAGACACUACACAGAACUCACAAUUCAUGGCUCAUACUUCUUAUUUCUCUCUUGUUCUUUACUUUUCACUUGAUGCAUAACCAAAUGAUACUAGGGGGUAUUUAUAAUACAUGAGAAAAAUCUAAAGCAUUCAAAUAAAAGAUUACAAAAAAUUAAUAACUAUUUAUUUUCACCUACCAUACGUGCCACUAGUAAUUCAAACCUCACCAACCAUAUCCACCCAUGAAACCUUCCAUGGGUUGAGCUUAAUGAAAAGUGGUGUUGGGCUUAUUUUUAACACUCCCCCUCAACAUCAAUUCAUCAUUCGACCCAUAUUGAGCUAGUGGCGGAACUCUUUAAAUUUCCCAGUACUAAGACCUUUUGUAAACAAAUAUGUAACCUGAUCAUUCGUCUUGAUGUACUGCAUUUCAACUUCAUCUUGCAAGACCUUUUCCCUAAUGAAGUGAUAGUGCACCUCCACGUGAGUAGUUCUUGCAUGGAAAACUAGAUUUUCCGACAAAUUAAUUGUCGAUUAGUUAUGACAAUACAAUAGUACUGCGUAAUCUCCUGGUUAGUGUAGAUCCUUUAUCAAUUAUAUCAACCAAGUACUUUCUUGAGCUACCAUCGUUGCUGUUCUAUAGUUCGCUUCUGUGGUUAAUAGUGAUACAAUUAGUUGUCUCUUACUACACCAAGACCAAUUCUAAAAACAUACCCAAUAGUUGAUCUUCUUCUAUCAUGAUCUCUGGCAUAGUCAUCAUCACUACAACCAGUCAGGCUGCAACUUUCACAUUUCUUGUACAAUAGACCAUAGUCGAUUGUACUUCUCGCAUAUCUUAGGUUUCGUCAAACUACUUUUAAGUGAGGCUUCUUUAGAUUUUACAUGUAUCGACUUAUUAAACCCAUUGCAUAUGAAAUGUCUAGUCGAGUCAACGUUAAGUAGAUUAAACUAUCGACCAAUUGUCAAUACAUCAUUCCAUCUCGUAAAUAUUUACCUUCGUGUGUGUACAAUUUUGCAUUGGCAUCCAUUGGUGUUGAGUGCCUUUCUCAGCUUGCAAACAUACUCCGGAUGAGCUUACUCUCAAAUCCUCUAAAUUGGUUCAUGUAGAUCUCUCGAUCCAACUCUCUGUGUAAAAAGGCAUUUUUUACAUUCAUUUGCCACAAUUUUCAUUCCUUAUUGGCUAUAAGUAAAAGUAGAACUCUUACUGUUGUGAGCUUUGCCACCGGACUAAAUGUCUCAUCAUAGUCUAGCCCAUAUUAUUGUGAAAAUCCUCCAAUCGAGCCUUGUACCUUUCAACUGAACUAUCUGGACACUUUUUAAUCUUGUACACCUAUUUGCAAGAUAUUUGUUUUAUAUCAUUUGGUUUUACAACUAGAUCUCAAGUCUGAUUAUGCUUCUGUGCGUAUAUUUCUUCUUCCAUCGUCUUUAUCCAAUGAGAAUUCUCAGUUAGUUCUUCAAAUGUAUCAGGUUCUUUUAUUUUUUCGUCUUCUGCAACAACUGUAUUAGCAUACCUGAGAUUUGGUUUUCUCAUUCUUUUGGAUCUUCCAAGUUCAGGUUCGGGAGUUCUUGGUUCUAGUUCGCUUGAUUCUUCAUUUUCAAUAGUGCUCUGGUAAACACUUGUCUUCCACGAACUUUACGCCUUAUCAUGCUCGAUAUCAUCAUCUUUUAGAUUACUAGAAUCUUUAGAUUCCUCAAGGCUCGAGUGAAUUUUGACAGUUCGUUCUUUCAUUUGAUCUUCGAUUUCUUUUGAAUCUGAUAGUUCUUCCUUUUCUGAAGACUACUAUGAAGAUGUUUUGUCAAUCACCACAUUUUCUGUUGUGCAGCACCGUCCACUGAUAGGAUUACAACACCUCCAUCUUUUCCUCUAGCUAUCAUAUCGAACAAAGAUACAACGAAUAUCCUUCUUGUCAAAUCUGCUUCGUAAAUGGCCUUGCAUGAAGACAUAGCGCAUACAUCUGGAUUCACGAAAGUGGCUGACUUUAGGCUUUAUAUUCCACAACUUCUCGUAAGAUUAUAUGAACCCUAGUUUCGAUGGAGGAACUCUAUUGAUCACAUGAGUUGCCGUCUUCAUGGCUUCGGCCCAAAACCUUCUUGGUACAUUCUUUGCAUGUAUCAUACUCCUACAGAUCUUUACUAAAUCCCGGUUUUUUCGUUCUACUACAAUGUUCUAUUGUGGUGUAUUGGCACAAGUGAACUGAUAGCGUAUUUUAUAUUCUCGUAGAUAUUAGAAGAACUCAUAUAAUGUAUACUCUCCUCAAUUGUCUGUUCUUCGGCAGUAAACCUUCUUUCCUACUUCUCCUUUGGCUAUGUCUCUAAAUUCUUUAAACUUUGAAAAAGUAUUAGACUUUUCUUUCAUAAAGAAAACCUAGACAUACCUAGAGAAGUCAUCGAUGAAUAUGGCCAUGUAUCUCAUGCCACUGAUAGAAGGUUGCUUGACAAGCCCAAACACGUCAAAGUGUAUCAGCUCUAAUAGUUCUUUUGCUCUGAACAUCGACUUUUCAUAUGGAAGUUGGUAAGCCUUGCCAUACUGACACACUGCACACAUUGUGUCUAUUCUUACGUCAAGUUGAGGUAGACCUCUGAGUAUUGACUUGUUCACCAUCACCUUCAACUUGUAACAGCUAACAUGUCCCAACUGAGCUUGCCACAAAUCUACAGUCCUAUUCCUUCGAGUCUUGUCUAUAUAAGUAGACUUUAGUGACAAUACAUAGACUGACUCUAGUUUUUUCCAUUCUAUAGUGGGUGUCUAUGAGAUCUUUAGAUUUUGAUAUACCAUGACAUCUUGAGGACCAAACAUAAUAUAAUGGUCUGAACAUCUUAAUUGUGAUACUAACAGUAGAUUUUUCUUCAUAUUAAGAACAUAGUACACAUCUUGAAUUGCCACCAUUGUCGCGAUUUCUUUGGCUUAUGUUGGACACCAUUGUCGCGAUUCCUUUGUGCUCUUCCAAUUUGUGAGCUACCUUCUUGUUGAUGUCCUCAUGACUUGUUAACAUCUCCUUUAGAUCCUCCACCAUUAUGUCGUCUGAAUUGAUGUCUUUUCUUAUCGAUGAAGAGAGCUUCCUCAUUAUUCUUUAUUGAAGCCCCAUUCAUUUACUUGUCAAUCGCUUCUUGAUCGGCAAGCAAGUUUUCAAAUUCCUCAAUAGUUGGUUGAGUUGGCCAACCUUGGACUGCUAUAACAAAGCUCCUAAACUCGGGCUUCAAACCAUGAAUAAUAAUUCUCUUCAUUCUAGAUUCAGAGAUUACAAUAGUAAGAUCUAACUCGAGAAUUUCAUGGCAUACGAAUUUUACGUUAUUGAAGUACUCGUCGACCGUUAUGUUUCGUUGUGAAAUUAACGAUAGCUCAUUCUCUAGAAGCUGUAGCCGCGUGUUAUUCUUCUUUGAAAAAAUCUUUUUUAGGCUUUUUAACCUUUUUUAUGCAUUGUAGCAUCUCUUCUUCUAUUGUGCUUUUGAUGGCGAACAUGGCCUUCCUAGCUUUGAUGUUCCACUUCUUUAAAGUGACAUCCUUAGUUGGUGGUUUCACAUCGUUACCACAAAUAAUCUCCUAGAGACCCUUGCCUUGUAAAUAGAACUCCCUUAAUGUUGUCCACGUAUUGUAAUUUUUUUUUUGUUAAGUUUCUUGACUCCUCCAGCUACUUGAAGGUCAUCCAUUGUGUCUGCAAGACUUAGACAAUGCCAAGCAAACUCGAUCUUUAGUAAAGUUUUUAACUACUCACGAUUUAAUAAAGCUUUACCAAACAAUCCUCGAUCAUUCUUACUGUAUUCUUACAGUUUCCCCACGAUAAUCCUUGAUUAUUAUGAACUUUCAGCAGGACUGCUACAGUAGUCCCCGACCAACUUGGUUCUGAUACCAAUUGUUGAAAACUGAAGAGGACUAAACUACUCAAAAUUGAAACUAUUGGGCAACAAAAAAAUUUACUAAGCUGAAGGACUAUAUUGAUAUUUUACAAGAGACACUACCACUCAUAAUUCACGGCUCACACUUUUUAUUUCUCUCUUAUUCUUCACUCUUCACUUGAUGCAUAACCAAAUGAUACUAGGGGGUAUUUAUAGUGUAUGAGAAUAAAUCUAAAUUAUUCAAAUAAAAAAUUACAAAAAAUUAAUAACAAUUUAUUUUCACCUACCACUAAUGAUGGCCAAUGGGUCAUGCCGGCAUCAACAGUAGGCCCACUAGGGUCCGCGGGCUGGCACGACAUGACUCACCAAAUUGGUGUGCCGUGCCGUGCCGUGUCGUGCCCACUUUUUUUCUCAUAAGGGCCCAGCACGGCACGAGGCCGGUCAUGUCGUGCCGUGGGCUGUGCCAAAAAAGCCCAUCAACUUUUUUCUUUUCCAGCAUGCUUAAAAAAGCUUACAUGCCUGACGUACUUUAUUCAAGCCCAUGUGGCUGGCAUGCUUUUUUAAGCCCAUCAGCCUACUAAUAUAAUAAUAAUAAUCAUCAUCACCACCACCAUUAUCAUAACAAUAACAACAACAACAACAAUAAGAAUAAUAAUAAUAAUAAUAAUAAUAAUAAUAAUAAUAAUAAUAAUAAUAAUAAUAAUAAUAAUAAUAAUAAUAAUAAUUUUUAUUAAGAGAGCAAUUAACAUUUUAUUAUCAGUUUAUCAUAAUUUCACAACUAUAUGUAUAUUUAAUUUCACAAUAACCAAUCAUAACAUAACAAUACAUAAAUUUAAUUCCAUAGAUCAUAAUAAUGAUUAAUUAAAAUUAAAAAUACAAUCCUUCAAUAAUAAUUACAAUAAAUCACAACUACGAGACAUCAAUUAUAACAAAUCGAUGAAUAACAAGCACGAAAUAACAUUUAUUAAUCACAACUAUGGAUACGGGAAACGAGCAAGGUUAAUUCUGACUCGGCUACGGUGGUGAGCUAAACAAUUUGACACGUGCCGACGUAAACCCGUGGUGCCAUGGCUUUUUGAAUAAAUAACUUCUUGAUGAUAAUAGUAGCACCUUAAGGUCAUCUGCUUGUAAGGACGAUGCGAACUGUUAUCUAUUAUUUCCUCCCUUAUUGUAGUAAAAUUUUGAAAAAGUUCAUUUAAAUAACAGCUUCUAGACUGAUUUAGCCUAUCAUUGUUAUUUUGAUGAGGUCUAACUCCAUCAACAUCGUGUUCUUGAGGCUGUUGAGGUUCUUCUUCAUUCAUAUUAUGUUCUUGCGGAUUCAUGAUUGAUUUUGGCUUUUGGAAUAUUGGAAAGUUUGAAAGGAAAAAAAAGAAGAAUAAGAAUUGUGAAGCAUCAUAGCAUAUUGGCGUGUAUAUAUAAUAUUAUAUAGCAGUAAAAAGACAAAAAUUAAUUUUAUUACUUUGUCGGUGGGAGUAGUUGAGUAAGUAAAAAAAUGUUUAGUGAAAUAUAAAUAUUUGUGAAUGAAUGAAUCUUGCGAUCUUAAUUUUUGUGGAGCCGUGAGGCAAGUCACAAGUGCUUGGUUGGCAGGUAGGAAAAAGAUAUUAAAUUAUUUAAAAAAUAAAUGAAAAUAUUAAAAGAAAUGAAGAUCAUUUCCCCAAAAAAAAAAAGAAGAAAAUCGCAUUGUUGCCUUGUUGAGUUGUUGGCAUGAGCCCAAAAUGAAAAAGUAUUACACAAGCUGAUAAAAAAUGUUGAAUUACGAUUGGACAUGUCACAUACUCACAUGUUGAGUAUUGACUGUAAGUGUCUAUAAUCUACGGACUAAACCCAAACUCACAAGCACAAAUGUACAAUGAUCUCAAUUUUUUAUUUUUAAACAUCAUUGUCAGUAACUUUCACAAUUUCUUUAAAUUUUGAAUUGAUUGCGUUGCACAUAAUUUUAAAAUUUUACAGUUACAACAAUAAAAUUAGGGUCCGCAUAAGUUACAUUUAAUGUAACUUACAACUGUCCUGUAAAUUUCAUUCAGCCCCCUAUACUCUAUAUUAUUUACAAUUUAUUCAUAAAUAUUAUAAAACUUUCUGGAUUGUUAAAUUUUGUUUAGCCCCUUGCACUCUGUUUUAUUUUAUUGAAACUCCUAAAGUACCAAUUCGCCGCUAUAAUUUUAAAUUUCCAAAACAACCUCCAUUUAAUUAAAAAAUAUAAUAAUUAUUAAAUGAAUUAUAAUUAUAAUUACAAUAAUUAUUUUAUUAUAAUAUAAUUAUAUUUUUUUGUUAAAUUGUUAAUGAUAAUAAUUAACGAUAACAAUUAUUAAUAAUUAAUUUUUGAAUAAUAAUAACAAUAACAAUAAUUAAAAUACAAAAUAAUAAUUAUGAUGAAAAUUAAUUAAGAAUUUUAUAGUAAUUUGUUACAAUUUAACUCACUCUAAUUUUUAUUAUAAAACAAAGUAAACACAUAAAUGAUAAUACUGCUAAUUUUGUAUCAAAUGCGACCAAUAUGGUAGCACCCAAAACAAAAAGGACUCUAAUAACUUUGCAUAAAUAAAACUAGUAAUUGAAUAACCGAAAUGUAAAAAGCUUAAGUAUGUAAGAAUUGAACAACUAGUGUUUAAACCAUAACACCUAUUUCACACCUGGUGCUUAUUUUGCUCUGUGAUGAGAUUUACUUAGUAGAGUAGAAUGAGGGAAAUUUUGGAAUUCAAACACAAAGACUUCUCGGUAAAAUAAGGUUGAUAUCAUGUAGAACAACACAUUAGUCUAAAGCUUCUCUUAAGAAAAAAAUGCCUAAUUAACAACAUUAUCGGAAUGUUAAAACUAAUAUACAAAGUUAUUAAACACAUAAUAAUAAGGUAGAAUGUGGAAAUGAGAAAUACAGGAAUUGAUAGCUCUAUCAUAUCAACAUUAUUAGAUUAGAAGAACAAAGAUAAAAAAUAGAAAGCACAUCACUAAAAGGGUUUAAAAGAAAAGGCAGGAUUUAACUGCUUAAAGUGGUAAGUUUGUCAAGUAAAAUUAACAUGAUAACAUAACACAAUUAACUUAAUAUCAAUCAAUUCAAUUACAGAUACAAAAUGAUCAACCCUACAGGAAAAUCUAUGAACUAAUUACAAAAUUCAUAAGUGAAAAACCUCACCAACAAACGCUACAUUAUUCAUUUGAAACAAAGGCAUCAAUAAACACCCCGUGUGAGAAAUCAUGAGAAAAUCAGAAAAUAAAAUAGUUCAAAAGGUUGUUCCAUACUAGUUAACGCAUCAAGAACAAAAUAUGCCUUCUCUCUUUAAAAAAUAAAAUUAUAUUAAAAUUAAAAAUUCAAAACACAAAAUGUAGCCACGUCAGCAAUGUAGAAAAAUAAGAAUAAUAAAAAAUAAAUAAAUAAAAUAAAAUAAAAAAUUCAAAGUCAGUCUACUUAUUGCUUACAACAACAACCCUUUCUGGCGACUGUAUAGAAAACGAACAGUUCAAGCUGCCACAAAAAAUAUCAGAUAAUUCCUUCUCAUUACCAUCAGCAGCGACCUUGUGUUUUCCUUUCUUGCUCUUUGCGCCAUCAUGAUCACCAUGGCGACCGUCUGAUCCAGCCUUCCCACUUAACUACUCCUGUUUUCUUCUGGCCUUCUCGCUCUCCGUCAGCAAAAUGUUAUCUUCGAUUGCCAUGAUCUACGCCACGAUUCUGCUUGCUUCCCCAAUGACCUAUCCGGUGUCCACCACGACAGCUGCGUGGCUAGUGCAGUCGGGUAACUCCCACUAAAAAGUGGAGGCAAGGGACUCUGGGAAAUUAAACAAAAUGUCUCUCUAUUUUCAAUGUUAGUAUUUUUUCUGCCUCAGAUUUAUUACUUUCUGAAUUUACACCACCAACUAAGACUGGUGAUUCCAAAACUACGCCGUUUUUAGAGCUCCCCUGCCCAAGGUUAAACAAAAUUGAAAAUAAAAUAUCGCUAUCCGUUCAUGAUCAUUACAUUAUCUCUAUCAAAGAAAGAAAUUAUACAAAUAAUAACAAAAUAAAGGAAUUUAAUAACCUGAGGGGAGUCAGUAUCGAUGAUAAUGGUGGAGAAUUGUCCUUCUUCAGACACUUUAACAGUUUUAAGACAAACUAAUUUCAUCAUCGGAAUCGCCAGAGAAGCAAACACUUCAUCCGCCUUCAAAAUUUUACUCGUAAAUAAUAUACAAAACUAAAUUGAUAAUACAAUAAUUUUCAUCCCUUCAAGCCAUGUUGCUGAAAUUGGCGAAAUUCCACCUCAACCCACCAGCAGCAGCAUCGAUAAACCACAGCGGCAUGGCCAGAAAAGGAUAUGAUGGUAUAAGACCCAUGGUUAGCAGUGGCACAGAGGGCAGAGGGUUGAAAACCACUAACCUUACACAGCCAGAGGCGAUGGGUCACGGUAAAUUUGGUGGCGAAGAGGUCGGCCCAAUGGACUCGCAGCUUGGGGAAGCCUUUCCAGACAUCGAGUGCAGUGGAGGAAGCUAGGUCGCAGCUGGGGUGGUGGAUCUGAGGGUUACGCGACUGAAGGAGAUGGCUUAAGGUUAAGAAUCAAUGUCUCGGCACCAAAAUGAGGCAUGCAGUAGUCAGAGGUGGCCGAGCUUGGCAACUCAACAGCGUUUAAGGGUGAUGCACAGCCUGGGUAGGCCAAAUUUUGGGCUGGGUCUUUAGGAUUUAUGGAAACUAGAGUAAAGUCCAGAGGUUAAAGAACUUUGAUAGCUCGAAAUUGGGCGCGACAAACUCAAUUUGGGGCAGAUUCUAGGGUCAAAAAACUAAAAAUGCCCAUUUUGAAAGGCAAGGAUGCUUAUAGAUAGGUGUAUAGGGUAGAUCACUAUUUCACCAUCAAUGGAAUCUCAAAAAGAAAAAAAAUGAUGGCAACAACUUUAUGCUUCGAAUGAAAGGCCCUUGCGUGGUUUCAAUGGCAAGAACAACGACAACCAUUGAGAUCAUGGAGUGAAUUUAGGAACCGGCUGUUAGAGAGGUUUCAUGCCACACAAGAGAGAGAUUUGCAUGAACAAUAUUUUGCCCUAACUCAGGAGAGAACAAUCAUGGAGUAUAGCAAGAAGUUUGAGUUGCUAUCAGGGCACCAAAGGGGAAUCACAGAGGCGUUAUUGGAAGGGAACUUUAUAAAGGAAAUGAAGCCGGAAUCUGACCCCUGCUACGCUUGCUAAGGCCAAGAGGGUUAGGGCAGACAAUGAAGUUUGCACAGAUAAUUGAGGAUAAAAACACAUCAGAACAGGAAAAUAUGAGCAAUUUAGUUGUUUUUAUACCAAAACAGCACACCAUUGGUAGGACAAAAAACACAGACCUUAGGGUUUCAGCGAGAGUUCCAAAGCACACCACUGGGAGGCUAGAAAAAAAAUUGUAAAUGGUGGGGUUACAGAGAUAUUCCUAAAGGGACCGGGUUAGUGGGACACAACUGAGGGCGACUUUCAAACGCCCCACAGAUAUUCAUGAUAAAAAGGCAAGAGUUGUGUUUUCGAUGCGAUGAGAAAUUUUCACCGAGGCAUCAAUGUAAAGAUAAAUCACUGCAGGUUUCGACUGUAUGUGAUGAGGAGGAUGGAGGUGGUGGAGGAAGAACAUCCUCAUUUUUAUGUAGCUAAGGUAGUGGAGGAAGAACAUCACUUAAAACCAUGAUAAAGGCGACUCAUGAUGCAAGACAGAGAUCUUAGUGAAGUUGCAUAGCCAGGAAGAGGGACAGACAGAGGCAUCAACGAUUAUUCCAUAACUGAUUUAGCAGCUGUUGGAACGAUUUGAGGGGCUUUUCCAGUGCCCAAUGGCCUAUCUCCGCGAUAAGAACAUGAGCACGUGAUAGUGUUGAAGGAAAAGGCGUCCUUUACUAGUGUCCGGCCAUACCCAUAACCCUUGAUAUAAAAAGAUAAGAUUGAGAGGUUAGCUAAGGAAAUGUUGGAGGCUAAGAUAAUACAGCCAAGCAUUAGUUCAUUUUCGAGCCUGGUCUUGCUAGUAAAAAAAAAAAAAAAAAAGGGAGCUAGAGAUUUUAUAUUGACUAUCGAGCCCUGGACAUGAAAUGGUGCUUAACAAGUUUUCUAUUUUGAUGAUCGAUAAGUUGUUGGAUGAGUUGCAUGGGGUGACGAUGUUUCCAAAGAUAGAUUUGAAGCUGGGAUAUCACUAUAUUCAGAUGUGACCAUAGGAUGUGCGUAAUGUUGAGUGUUAGAAAAUGCAUAUUUAUAAAGGAGAAAAUCGUCAUUUUACAUUUCACGUCUUACUAACAACCCUUACUUUUAUGUGUUUAAGCUUCUUGUUAUUUAAUUGUGUGUUUUAUUUUAAUUAAGUAUUUUAUGUAUUUUAGGGGCGUCAUAGUCAUUUCACAAUAAACGAGAGAUCAGACGGCAAAACGGACAUCACUUUUGAACUCAGGACGGUUGAAAACCUUAGGAGGAGCAUAAAAGGAAAAAUGGCAUUGUUCACAUGUACGGUACUGUCUACGUUACUGUUCACGACUCUGUUCACAUAGACGAAUCGAUGAUGUGGCAUUGACCGAUGAUGUGGCAUUGACUGAUGAGGUGUCACGAUCCUGUUGGACUAAAAUUCUUAUGCACUGUUGAUCGAUGACGUGGCAGCAUAUCAGUUGACCAAAAAUCUCACGUACGGUACAUGCAACACACAUGAUUAUUUUCAACCAAACCGCGUCACUGUUCACCCGGGUCAAACCGUGUUACUGUUCAUCCACGUGGUCAAACCAUGUACUAUUCACGCGUACUGUUGACUGAUGACGUGGCGCAAUCCUGAGCGUCCAAACUGUUUUUAAUCUGAUGGCCAUGAUUUACUCGAUGUAUCUAUAAAAAGGGGGCCUCCCCCCCUAAUUUGAUAUCUCUGAAUCCAUUUUUGGGAUACAUUUUCUGUAAUUCCUUCUCCAUCUUGUAUUUUCUACGUAUUUUAGUAAAUUCUCAUUUUACCCCUAGUUCAAUUAUGAGUGGCUAAUUUUCUUUCAAGCUUAGGUUGAAGGUGAAGUCUCAACAUGUGUCAUGGGCUUUAUUUAGUAAAUUUACUUUCUCUUCCCCUCCAAUUUUUGUAGAUGUUUUGACUUCUCGUCGACAAAUAAUAUUAAUCUUGUCUAAAUAAUCCUUAGCACCAUAUUGAUUAAAGCGUGGUUCAUGAGGUGUGGAUUCCCCCCUCAUGAUUUAAUUGGCAUUAAUAAGGAUUAUUUAGCCCAUGAUGCAUGUUGAUACGGAUCCAGAUACCAAAGUACGUCAUCUCAAUAGAUUUCUCUUCAAUUUAUUCUCGCCAUUUCAAUUCCAAUUUUAGGAUAAUCCAAAUCAUUUUCACCACAAAUCCAACCACCCAUUUACAAAAUUAAUUCUACACCCAAUCAAAAUCCACCUCCUCGUGGGAUCGACACUCGUCACCGGAAUUUUGUGAAAGGGUAUAGCACCAUAAGAUGGCCUCUAAUAGAGAAGUUGAAGAAGGAUAAUUUUCAAUAGGGAAAGCCCCGAUGCAGGCUGGCAAUGAUUAAUGUUCUGGUGCUAGCAUUACCGGAUUUUAGCCAACCAUUUAUCGCAGAGACGGACGCCUCAAUGUAUAGGUUAAGAGCAGUUCUCAUGCAAAAUCAGCCCCCAAUUUGCUAGUCCAGCCAAGUGUUAAAAGGUAGGGCAACUCAAGUCAGUUUAUGAGCAUGAACUGAUGGCAAUUUUGUUAGCUAUUCAGAAAUGGAGGCCAUACCUCUUGGGGCGACGUUUCAUUGUCCGAAUCGAUCAGUGGUGUCUUAAGUUCCUGUUAAAGCAACAUAUGGUGAUUAAAGAACACCAAUGCUGGUUGUUGAAGUUACUAGGCUAUGAUUUUGAUAUCAGUACCGGCCAAGGUUAGAGAAUAAGGUGAUAGAUGCCUUAUCACGACAGGAGGAAGAACUUCUGUUGGUAGAUUUAUCAUUGCCUUUGAUGAUGGAUUAGGACAUGUUAUCACGAGAUAUUAAGGUGGACGAGGGGUUAGCAAAGAUUAGGGCUGUAUUAUAUCCGGGCUAUUCAAUGGAUAGGUAGCAAUUGUUAUAUUAGAAACGUCUUGUGUUGCCGAGGACGUCACCCCAUAUACCAAAGUUAUUGUAGGACUUUUACGACAGUACUAUUGAGGGACAUUCUUGUGUUCUAAAAACUUAUCAGCGUUUGGCAGCAGAGCUGUAUUGGGUGGGGAUGAAAAAGGAUAUCGAGGAGAUGGUAGUGAGGUAUGAUGUGUGUCAAUACUACAAAUGCAUGGCAAUGGUGCUGAGAGGAUUGUUGUAGCCAUUAUCACUACCCGAUAGGUUUGGAAGGAGGUAACGAUGGAUUUUGUUGAGGGAUUGCCAUGGUCGAAUGGGUACACAGUGAUCUUGGUAGUGGUCGAUCGAUUAAGCAAGUAUGCUCAUUUCAUACCCCUACGACACCCUUAUACUAUUGUGACUGUUGCAACGAAAUUUAUGCGAGACCAGAAUCAAUAGUGAUGGAUCGAGAUAAGUUUUCCUUGAGCCACUUUUGAAGGAAGUUGUUUACAAUGCAGGGGACGAUUUUCAAGAGGAGUAUUAUUUACCACCCACAGACUGAUAAAUAGAUUGAAGUAGUCAACCAGAGUGUGGAGACUUAUCUGUGGUGUUUCGUGUCGGACACGCCUAAGUAGUAGGUGAGGUGGUUAACCUGGGUAAAGUAUUGGUACAAUACUUUUUAUAACACUACUAUGCAGACUUCUCUUUUUAAGAUCUUGUAUAGGCAUGAUCCUCCACAUUUGGUGUACUAUGGACAGAGUUCGACACCUGUCUCGCAAGUGGAUUAGUAUUUGGAGGAAUUGGAUUAAAUACUGGAAGAGUUAAAGAGGCAUAUGUCUAAGGCGCAAUAGAUAAUGAAAAAAUAGACCGACAGUAAUAGGAAGGACGUAUUGUUUAAGGUGGGAGAUCAAGUUUAUUUAAAGUUACAGCCAUAUCGGCAAAAAUCUCUAGCAUAACGAAGGAAUGAGAAACUCUCUCCUCGGUAUUUUAGGCCUUAUGAGAUUGUAGAAAUAAUUGGAGAGGUGGCGUACGGAUUGAAGUUACUACCAACAUCAGUCAAUUAUCUGGUGUUUCGUGUAUCUCAAUUAAGACGAGCUAUUAGAGAACAUACACACUCUUUUACAUUUUCGUCGACACUAACUGAGAACAUAAGGUAGUGCUCAAACCGACUGCUGUGGAGAGAGUACGCCAAGGGGCGUCAGGACAACCAGCUGAUAAAAAUGAUGUUGAUUACAUAGAAGGACCUGCCAGACUAUGAGGCGACGUGGGAGCCAUAUAAGUUGAUACAGUAGCAGUUUCCUAGAUUUCACCUUGAGGAUAAGGUGUCUUUUUGGGAGAUGGAUAAUAUUAGACCAAUGAAAACUUCUGUUAGGCGCAAAUAUAAAGAGGCAGGGGUAGUUUCAUAAUUUUACUUAUUCAUUAAUUAGGGCUCAGUUAUAAAUAAAAUAUUAAGAAGUCAUUUAGGGUUUAUGCUGAGUUUUGUCAAGUAUUAGGAGUGAUUAAGAGUUUUGGGAGAGAUUGAUCGAUCUUUCGAAUUGUAGGUUAGGAUUGUUCUUCUUUUAUUCAAUUAAUAAAAAUCAGCCCUAAUUUAGCUCUAAGUUCUAUUAGAGGAUUAUGGGACCGCAAAUGACAAUUGUUUCUUCAUGAUGUUUUUCCACUGCUUUUGCUUGAGUUAGUCACCAAAUCAAAAAUACCCUCUGAGGCAUCUGUUUCUUCAUCAUUUGACUCCUCAGCAUGUUCGUCAUUCUCUUCAGUCUUUUGUUUCAGAGACUCAAUCGCCUCCAUCAACUCUCUGUUGACCUGUCAUGGUGAAUCUCUACAAACUAUAUAAGCUAAAAUUGAGGAGAUUUCAUAAUAAUGUAGUGAGUUUCCAAGAAGACUAGGAUGAAAAACAAAAUGCUGAAAGCACUAUCCACUGAUAGGAUUACAACACCUCCAUCUUUUUAUCUGGCUAUCAUAUUGAACAAAGAUACAACGAAUAUCAUUCUUGUCAAAUUUGCUUCGCAAAUGGCCUUGCAUGAAGACAUAAGCACAAACAUCUGAAUUCACGAAAGUGGCUAACUUUAGACUUUAUAUUCAACAGCUUCUCGUAAGAUUAUAUGAACCUUAGUUUCGAUCAAGGAACUCUAUUGAUCACAUGAUUUGAUGUCUUCAUGGCUUCGGCCGAAAACCUUCUUGGUAUAUUCUUUGCAUGUAUCAUACGCCGACAGAUCUCUGCUAAAUCCUGAUUCUUUCGUUCUACUACAGUGUUCUAUUGUGGUGUAUUGGCACAAGUGAACUAAUGGCGUAUCUUAUAUUAUCGUAGAUACUAGAAGAACUCAUGUGAUGUAUACUCUCCUUAACUGUCUGUUCGUAGGCAAUAAACCUUCUUCUAUACUUCUUCUUCGGCUAUGUCUUUAAAUUUUUUAAACUUUAAAAAAGUAUCAGACUUUUCUUUCAUAAAGAAAACCCAGACAUACCUAGAGAAGUCAUUGAUGAAUGUGACCAAGUAUCUCAUAUCACUGAUAGAAGGUUGCUUAACAAGCCCAAACACGUCAAAGUGUAUAAGCUCUAAUGGUUCUUUUGCUAUGAACUUCAACUCCUUAUAUGGAAGUUGGUAAGCCUUGCCAUACUAACACCCUGCACACACUGUGUCUAUUUUAUAAAUAAAAGGGGAGUUUUUGAAUUUUUAACUAAAUAGCAAGAAAUAAAGAAAUUAAACUAUGAAAACAAAAAUUUAAUAAAAACUCUAAUUAAAGGAGAUAGAAAUAAUAAUGACGAAAACUUUGGUUAAAAGAUCAUUCGCCACCAUCAAACAUGCACAUAAUAUAUUAAUUCUAUCAUCAAUUUAUAUUGAAACUAUCAACCGUAGACAACAACAAAGUUUGUUAGUCUCAAUCUUUCCUUAGUGUGUCGUUAGGCAAAAUAAGCUCUUCACCUAAUCUCUAACCAUUAAAUAAUUUAAAACAAGCUCUUUAAAUUUAAGAUAAUGGAAGCAUUAAACAGAGAAAGAUAUUAGGUUGAUCUAGGCAAUAAACACACAAGCUCGGAUUAUUUAACCUAUGUUAUGUUCUCCAAUUGAAAUCACUGAUUCCAAUAUGCUACUAAUGAUUAAAAUAUCAAGACAAUUACGGAUUAAGAAUUUUAAUCUAGCAAUAUAAUUUAUUCAAGUCCUAUUUAAUUGGCCACUCAAACAAGACGAGAAUAAAAUCAUAAACAUUAAUUAUAGAAGAAUAUAAACAAUCUCAAUUAAAUAAAUUGAAUGGUAGAAUUUAAAUUUAAUUGCAUAGCAUGUUUAGGGUUUUGAAUUCACCCUCAACCAAAUAGAAAAUCUAGCCUAACAUAAUUAAAUUGGGAAUAAAAGAGUUAAUAAAACCAGACAUAGAGAUUAAUUCAAACGGCUGCCUCCUCUAAUUUUUUUCUUCUCCUUUGCGGCUGCAAAUUCUUUUGUAUGUGUGGCUGCCGAAUAAAAAUCCCCUCAUGUUGCUUCCGCUUGGCCCUUAUAUAAUGCUUCAAUUGUGGCUUUUAAAUCCUUGCAUGGAAAGAAUUAAAUCCAAGCCAAAACCGCCACUGUCAUAACGUGCUUGCCAUUUAAAUUGUCAUGCAACAUAUUUGCUGCCUUUUUCGUCUUCAUUCACAAACUCUUUUGAUUGGCCAUGCUUAAAGCCAAAAGGCUUUAUUCUUUUCUUCCUCUCACGUGCUGGAUGGCAAUCUCCUUUUUCCAAUUUUAGCUCAAUGUGAUGGCUUAGCUUGUAAUUGGCUUGACUUCCUUUUUGACUUCUAUUUUCCAAUUUUAGCUCCAUGUGCAAAAUUAAUUUUGCUUGGCCCGUACAAGCUCUAAUUGGAAAAUAUUCUUUAUUUCUCCAAUUCUUGAUCUCUUGUGUACUUUUGUCUCCCAAUAUUCAAUUCUUUUCUUAUUUUGAUUCUCUCAAUAAGAUUUCUUUCCUGAAUGCUUCGAUUUAAUUUCUCUUUAAUUCCAUAAAAUACCUAAAAUAACAAAAUAAAAAACUAAGAUAAAAAUUAACACAAUAAAAAUAUACUUUACUAAAUUAAAAAUUAACUAAAAUAACUAGAAUAUUUAAGACCAAAACAAGAAAAAGAUGGAGAAAUUAAUAGCAAAAUAUAUGAAAAAUAUGCACUUAUCAAAUUCCCCCACACUUACCCUUUGCUCGUCCUCGAGCAAACCUAUAAUAAAAAUAAAAUUAAAAAAAAAAACCUAAACUAGUCCACUUUAGUAGGAAAUCAUGAUUGCAUUUAUCAUAUGCAACAAGUCUUUAAACCCCUAUGUGGCCCUAGUGGAUGAGUUAUAGUCUCGUGAGGGCUUCAAGGAUGAUACCCACAAACAUCAUUUCAUUUCCACUUUUUUUUUAGAAAAAGAACAAAAGACUUUAAAAUAAAAAUAGCCUCAAAGAUUGCAUAAGUCAUAUAGCUCAAAGAAAAUUUCAAAUAUUAUCGAAGUUCUAACUUUAAUUCAAUAGUCAAUCUCAUCUCUCUUUUGAUUCUUAUAGUGUGUGUGUGAAUCAAUUCAAUCAAAAUCCAUUCCCAAAAUCUUCAAUAUCAACAGCUUUUGCCUUGAACAAAGAAAAGAGUAGGUCAAACUAAUCUUAUCAUCUUGAUCUCCAAUUUUUUUUUUCACUCACAGGCAUUUGCGUGCAUUUUCUUUUGAUUUUUUUUUCUUUUUUCAUAAUCAGGAGCUUUCACUCUACCCCUUAAGGUAGCCUUCUUCUCAUGGUAGAUUAUCAUCUACAUACUGGUGGUACAUAGGCCCAAAUUACUCAAUGAUAGCUUCACUCUUAAGGGUUAUAGGUAGCUAUUUCUGACUAUGGUGCUUGUGUGUAUAACACUGUAUUGUGGAGAUAAGAAUCAAGACAAACAGUCAUUUACUCAAUCCAAAAUUCUCAACUCAGGCUGCAUCUAUCUCAAAUUCUAAGUCAAAACUAUGACAUAAUUGAUAUUAGUGCUCAUAGUUUAAAGAAUCUCAAUUAAGAGAAAAUCAACACAAGAAUCAAGUAUAAACUAAGGUAAUAUUCAACCCUUUCUAAGAACUAUAUUAAUUGUCAAUCAAAUUUUUAUCAUUGGCUAAUAUUCAAAACAAUGUUGUUCUUUUUUUUUUUUUGGAAAAAGAAAAAGACAAAGUAACAAAAACUAAGUUUGAAAUCCACCCCCCCCACACUUAAUUCUUGCAUUGUCCUCAAUAUAAGCCUAAGCUAACAAAAUAAAGAAUUAAACAUAGGGAAAUGAGAUGAGACACACAAACAGAAACAAACAAAAUUCAACACAGAGUGGAUAAAGUAAAUGAUAAUGAAAGGGAGAAAGAUCAAACCUGUUAUGGCGUGCUCUCAAAAUCUUUUCUCUAGCCAUUGGGUUGCCUCCCAAUAAGCGUGUUUAGGGAAUGAAAUAGGGUGACCAAGAUAAAGGUGUUUGCUCAUACAUUAUCGUGCUCUCCUCAAAGUAAAAGUGAGCAAAUGGUUGAGUAGAUCAUCUCGACCAGGAUAUUAUUGGUCACCUCGACCAGAAUAAUAUGUGGUGACCUCGAGCACAUCACCUCGACUAGGGUGUUAUUGGUCACCUCGACCAGGAAGCACGAUUCAGUCAAAAUAGUUUCUUCGAAAUAUUAGGGACCAUAUUCUUAGUGGGCUAAAAAUUAGUAGUUUUCUUGAUAAUUCUAGGAGAUUGGAUAAAAACCGCUAUAGUUUCCUAUAAAAACCCUAGGAAGGGGAAGGAAACGGGGGGGAUUCUUCUAGAUCUUUCUCUCUUUAAGCAACUGAACCCAUUGGACCUUUUUCUCUCUCUACCACUGAGAAAUUUCUCUUUUGUCUGUGAUUUCUUUAAGAUUGAUAAUUUUGAAUUAUUUUCCUUUAAAUUUACUUAGAAGCUUUUUGUUUAAAGCAAUCAUAAUUAAGCCACAUGAAUUGUGGUAUGAGUUUUUCCAAGUAAGACCUAAAUCGCUGACUUGAGCGUCGGAGGGUUCGCGCCGGAAAAACUUCUGGCACCUCCUGACUGUUGGUUGUGCUCACAGGCUCACAGGCUCACAGGUUGUCUGCUCAUGGAUCGUUUGCUCACAGAUCGUUUGCUCACGGGUCCUCUGCUCAUGGAUCGUCUGCUCAUGAGUCCUCUGCUCAUGGAUUUUUCUGCUCAUGGAUUUUUCUGCUCAUGGGUGGUCUGCUCAUGAGUCCUCUGCUCAUGGAUCGUCUACUCAUGGAUCGUUUGCUCACAGGUAAUCUGCUCAUGGAUCGUUUGCUCAUGGGUUAUCUGCUCAUGGAUUGUCUGCUAAUGGGUUAUCUGCUCAUGGAUCGUCUGCUCAUGGGUUAUCUGCUUAUGGAUCGUCUGCUCAUGAGUUCUCUGCUCUUAGAUCGUCUGCUCAUGGAUCAUUUGCUCACAGGUUAUCUGCUCAUGGAUCGUCUGCUCAUGGGUAAUCUGCUCAUGGAUUGUCUGCUAAUGGGUUAUCUGCUCAUGGAUCAUCUGCUCAUGGGUUAUCUGCUUAUGGAUCGUCUGCUCAUGAGUUCUCUGCUCAUGGAUCGGAUGGUCUGCUCAUGGAACAUCUGCUCAUAGAAAAUCUGCUCAUGGUGCUAACUAAUCAGUGGCUUCCCAUCAGACAAUUUUAAUGCUGAUGCAGGGAUAUGUGAUUUGACCAACUCAUCCGGAUUUCGGCAUCAACAUUUUGGAAGGAAACGGGGGGGGGGGGUUCUUCUAGCUUUCUCUCUCUCUAUCUCUCUCUCUCUAAGAAACUGAACCCAUUGGACCUUUUUCUCUCUCUACCACUGAGAAAUUCCUCUUUUGUCUGUGAUUUCUUUAAGAUUGAUGAUUUUGAAUUAUUUUCCUUUAAAUUUACUUAGAAGCUUUUUGUUUAAAGCAAUCAUAAUUAAGCCACAUGAAUUGUGGUAUGAGUUUUUCUAAGUAAGACGCAAAUCGCUGACUUGAGCGUCGGAGGGUUCGCGCCGGAAAAACUUCCGGCACCUCCUGACUAUUGGUUGUGCUCACAGGCUCACAGGUUGUCUGCUCAUGGAUCAUCUGCUCAUAGAUCGUCUGCUCAUGGGUUGUCUGCUCAUGGGUCCUCUGCUCACAGAUCGUCUGCUCACGGAUCGUCUGCUCAUGGAUUGUCUGCUCAUGGGUGGUUUGCUCAUGGAUCGUCUGCUCAUGGAUCGUUUGCUCACAGGUUAUCUGCUAAUGGAUCGUCUGCUCAUGGGUUAUCUGCUCAUGGAUUGUCUGCUAAUGGGUUAUCUGCUUAUGGAUCGUCUGCUCAUGGGUUAUCUGCUUAUGGAUCGUCUGCUCAUGAGUUCUCUGCUCUUAGAUCGUCUGCUCAUGGAUCGUUUGCUCACAGGUUAUCUGCUCAUGGAUCGUCUGCUCAUGGGUUAUCUACUCAUGGAUUGUCUGCUAAUGGGUUAUCUGCUCAUGGAUCGUCUGCUCAUGGGUUAUCUGUUUAUGGAUCGUCUGCUCACGGGUUAUCUGCUCAUGGAUUGUCUGCUCAUGAGUUCUCUGCUCAUGGAUCAGAUGGUCUACUCAUGGAACAUCUGCUCAUAGAAAAUCUGCUCAUAGAAAAUCUGCUCAUGGUGCUAACUAAUCAGUGGCUUCCCAUCAAACAAUUUUAAUGCUGAUGCAGGGAUAUGAGAUUUGACCAACUCAUCCGGAUUUCGGCAUCAACAAAGCGUUUGGUUUAUUGUCCUCAGCUUGACAUGGUUCUCAAGUUUCACUCAUCAACGUACGCAGGUUCAUAAAGUGGAGCCUCAUCUACAUUGAGUGUCUGAAAGGUUUCAUAGUACGGCUUCAACCUAUGACCAUUAACCUUGAACUCUUUACUUGUCUUUAAGCUCCUGAUCUCAACUGCACCAUGAGGAAAAACAUUAAUAACAACAAAAAGGCCCAACCCAUCGAGAAUGUAACUUACCUGGAAACAACUUAAGGCGAGAAUGGAAUAGCAAAACUUUCUGUCCAACUUCAAAAUUCUUUCUCAAGAUCUACUUAUCAUGAAAAGCCUUAGUCUUUUCCUUAUAGAUUCGUGAACUCUCAUAGGCAUCAUUUUGAAUUUCCUCUAAUUCUUCUAAUUGGAGCUUUAUGUGUUGGCCGGCGGCGUCCAGUUCCAUGUUACAUUGUUUCAUAGCCCACCAUGCUUUAUGUUCAAGUUCCACUGGAAGAUGACAAGGCUUACCAUAUACCAACCUGUAGGGUGACAUACCAAUAGGCGUUUUGUAUGCGGUCUUAUAUGCCCAAAGUACAUCAUCAAGCCGUAAGCUUUAGUCCUUUCUAUUUGGAUUAACCGUCUUUUCAAGGAUUGAUUUCACUUCCCUAUUAGACACAUCAGCUUGCCCACUAGUUUGGGGAUGGUAGGAUGUAGAGACCUUGUGAGUGAUGUUGUAUUUUCGAAAGAGGGUUUCUACUGACCUGUUACAAAAGUGGGUGCCUCUAUCCCUGAUAAUUGCCUUCGGCGUUCCAAACCUUGCAAAGAUGUUACAUUUUAUAAAAUCUACCACAACUUUAGAAUCGUCAGUUCGGGUAGCUUUUACUUCCACCCAUUUUGAAAUAUAAUCAACCGCAAGAACAAUAUAGAGAUUACCAAACGAUGAAGGAAAUGGUCUCAUGAAAUCGAUGUCCCAAACAUAAAAAAUCUCAACUAUAAGAAUGGGAAAUUGUGGCAUUUGAUUUCUAGGUCCCAAAUUACUUGUUCUCUAACAACGAUCACAAGAUUUGAAAAAUAAAUAUGCGUCCUUAAAUAGUGAUGGCCAAUAAAAACCGCUCGCAAGUACCUUAAGGGCUGUUCUCUUUGGUCCAAAAUGUCCUCCGCAAGUUAAAGUAUGAAAAAAAGUGAGAAUAGAAGUAAAUUUAGUUUCGGGUACGCACCUUCUAAUAACUUGAUCAGAACAAUGCUUCCACAAGUAUGGCUCAUCCCACACAUAGUACUUAGCAUCACGCUUGAUCUUGGCCUUUUGUGCAUGAGUUAGCUCUUCUGGUAUUAUCCUGGUAACCAAGUAAUUGACAAUAUCUGCAUACCAAGGAGUACUGUACCUACCUGUAAUAAUUGCUCAUCUGGAAAGUUCUCAUGCAAUAGAAGUGCAUCUUCGUUAUAGGUAAGUCGACUCAAGUGAUCUGCCACCAAAUUCUCAGAACCUCUCUUAUCUAGAAUCUCUAAGUCAAAUUCUUGCAACAGAAGUAUCAAUCGGAUAAGGCACGGUUUGGCAUCCUUUUUUGUGAGCAAGUACUUAAUAGCUGCAUGGUCAGAGUAAACGAUUACCUUAGAUCCAAUUAAAUAAGAACAAAAUUUCUCUAAGGUAAAGAUAACUGCUAAAAGUUCUUUCUCGGUAGUGGAGUAGUUAAGUUGUGCAUAAUUCAAUGUAUGAGAGGCAUAAUAAAUGACAUGAGGAAGUUUGCCCACACGCUGGCACAAUACGGCUACAACAACAUAGUCACUGGCAUCGCACAUAAUCUCAAAUGGUUAAUCCAAGUUUGGUGGUUGAAUCACAGGGGCCGAUGUCAAAACCUUUUUUAACUUCUUAAAAGCUCUUUGGCACUCUUCAUUGAAAUCAAACAUUGCAUCCUUUUGAAGUAAAUUGCAGAGGGGUAAUGCUAUCUUGGAGAAGUCCUUAAUAAACAUGCGAUAGAAACCUGCAUGACCAAGAAAAGAACAAACCUCACUCACACUAGUGGGAGGUGGUAAGGAGCGAAUAAGAUCUAUCGUAGAUUUAUCAACUUCAAUCCCCCUUUCAGAAAUAACAUGGCCUAGUUCAAUACCUUGAUUAACUAUAAAAUGACAUUUUUCUCAAUUAAGCAUAAGGUUGGUGUCAAUGCAUCAUUUAAGAACAAGUGUAAGGUUAUUUAAACAUCUAUCGAAAGAAUCACCAUAAACUGUAAAAUCAUCCAUAAAUACCUCAAUGAUAUUCUCCACAUAAUCGGAAAAAAAACUUAUCAUACACUUUUGGAAAGUGGCAAGAGCGUUACAGAGACCAAACGGCAUGCGUCGAUAUACAAAUGUUCCGAAGGGGCAUGUGAAGGUCAUUUUCGCUUGGUCUUCCGGAGCGAUAACGAUCUUAUUAUAACCUGAGUAACCAUCAAGAAAACAAUAAUGAGAGUGACCACUUAACCUUUCAAGCAUUUGAUCAAUGAAUGGCAGAGGAAAAUGAUCCUUGCGAGUGGCUGCAUUCAGUUUACGAUAGUCAAUGCAAACUCUCCACCCAGUUUGAACUCUAGUUGGCACAAGCUCGUUUUCUUCAUUCUUGACCACUGUGAUGCCUGAUUGUUUUGGAACUACCUGCAUAGGACUCACCCAUUUACUAUUAGAAAUGGGAUAAAUAAUCCCUACAUUAAGGAGUUUUAGUAUCUUCUUUUUUACGACUUCCAUCAUUGGUGGAUUAAGGCGGCGUUGUUCAUCUCUCGUUGGUUUAGACCCUUCCUCUAGUAAAAUGUGAUGCAUACACAUGGAAGGACUAAUUCCCUUAAUAUCGGCAAUGAUCCAGCCAAUCGCCGUCUUAUGAUCCCGAAGCACCCUAAUUAACUUUUCUUAUUGAGUUGAAGUGAGGGUUUAGGCAAUUUUGACUGGAAGUGUUUCAUUUUCACCCAAGUAAAUAUAUUGCAGGUGCUCUAGGAGUGGCUUAAGUUCUAAGGUAGGUGCCUGCAUAACUGAAGGUAAAAGUUUCUCGUUUAAUAAAGGCAAUUCAAGGUAAGAAAUAUUAUACCUAUUGGUGCGUAAUGGGACUGCUUCAUCUAAGAUCGCCAUAGCUUCCUCUACCUCAUCAUCCAACUUUAUCAAAUUUUUCUGUUCCUUAGAAUCAUCUUUCGUAAGAUUUUUGCUUAUGGAAAUUUCAAAACAUCAUUACCAGAUAAUUCAAAGAAAUCUUGCACCAAAGUAUUAAUAUCAUCUAUGGCAAAAACAGAAUGAACAUAACUGGGAUACCUCAUUGCCUCAAAGAUAUUGAAGCGAAUCACUUCACCAUCAAAUUCCAUUGUGAGAAUUCCAUCGUGAACAUCAAUCUUGGUUCGGGCUGUCUUAAGGAAUGGUUGCCCCAACAGAAUAGGAGUGGGAUUGGGCAACAACUUAUCCUCCAUUUCAAGGAUAUAAAAAUCAGCUGGAAAGACCAAUUCAUUGACCUGCACAAGAACAUCUUCCACAACCCCCUUCAGGUAAGCAUUAGAUCUGUCAGCCAAUUGAAUAAUUAUACCAGUUUCUUCCAUUGGACCUAAAUUCAAGGAGUUAUAAAUUGAAUAUGGCAUAACAUUAAUUGAGGCCCCUAAAUCUAGCAUACAUCUUUCGAAUCUGGUAUUGCCAAUAGUGCAGGGGAUAGUAAAAGUACCUGGAUCCUUACACUUAAGAGGAAGAUUUCUUUGAAGUACAGCAUAAACAUUCUCUCCUACACUUACCUUUUUGUUACCACUCAACUUUCACCUGUUGCUACAUAAUUCCUUCAAAAACUUUGCAUAACGCGGCACUUAUUUAAUAGCAUCAAGUAGAAGAAUAUUUACCUCUACUUUACGAAAGGUCUCAAGGAUCUCUUUUUUUUGCUCCUCUUUCUUGGAUUGUUUAAACCUACUAGGAAAUAGUGGAGGAAUGGAAAGGGUCUUAAUUCGAGGUGAUGAGGUACUUACCUGGUCAGAUGGGUCAACUGACAAUGCAGAGUGGGAAUCGUUUUUCCUUGUUAAAGGAAGAGGCUCAGGGGAGGAAUUGGUCACAGAGUGCGAUGAUGUUGUAGACACUUUUGAUGGCUUAGCUAAUAAUGGUUCCAACUGCUUUCCGCUCCUAAGAGGCAUAGCAUUAGCAUUCUCAUUUGGAUUAAUUUUUGGUUGAGAAGGUAACUUUCCUGAAGUUCUAGCCUCUAUCCUACUCAUAAAUGUGGCCAUUUGGCCAAUUUGAUUCUCUAAAUGUUGGAGUUGUGUUUGGGUAGUCUGUUGGAACUGCAUAGAGUUAGUAGCGAGAGCUUUUACAAGAUCUUCCAAAGACAUACCUUGAUUUUGAGGAGGUGGAGGUGGCCGAACUUGGUAAGGCUGUUGCACCCGCUGUUGGGGGUAACUCGAUGGUCGAGAUGGUGCCACAUUAGAAAUGCCUUGUUGGUUCCCAUACUUAAAAUUAGGGUGAUCUUUCCACCCUUCAUUGUAAAAAUUAGAAUAGGGGUCAUACCUUUAUUUUGGUUGGCCUAGAAACCCCUCAACUGCGUUGAUCUGCUCAUGUGAACCCUCUUGGAGAGUAGGGCACAUAUUAGUUGUAUGCCCGACCAUGGAACAUACGUCACAUGGUCUCACUUGUUGCUUUAGGGCUAAUUGUUGCACCAAAGAAGUAAGAUUUGAAACUUAUUGUUCUAGGGAAGUAGUACUUACCUCAUUGACUCGCUUAGGUGGCGGUAGUAGAUCGUUUCUAGUGUUGAACUGUUGGGAAUUAGCAGCCAUGUUAGAAAUGAGAUUUCGGGCUACUUCUGGUGUCUUAUCCACGAGUGCUCCUCCACUAGCGACAUCAAUCAUACUUCUAUCCAUAGGCAGUAGACCCUUAUAAAUAUAUUGAAUAAGGAGUUGAUCACUUAUCUGAUGGUGGGGCAACUAGCACAUAGCUUUUUGAAUUGUUCCUAAUAGUCGUAGAGCGGCUCUCCAUUAUACUGUCGGAUUCCACAAAUUUCUUUUCGAAUGCUGCCAUCUUUUGAUGCUGGGAAAUAUUUCUCCAAAAAUAGUUGGUGCAUCUCAUUCCAUGUAGUGACAGUACUAGAGGGGAGAUAGUACAACCAUUCCUUAGCUGAAUCCGCCAAAGAGAAUAGGAAGGCCAUUAGUUUAACUUGCUCUUCAGAAACUCUAGCUGGUUUCAUUGUGGAGCACACCACAUGGAACUCCUUCAAGUGCUUAUUUGGGUCCUCUCCUGCAAGACCAUGAAAAGUAGGAAGAAGAUGAAUCAUCCCAGAUUUGAGUUCAAAGUUUACCUGAGGGUUUGGAUUCUCAAUGCAUAAGAGUUGCUGGUCCAAGUUAGGAGCUGCCAACUCUUUAAGUGUUCGGUUGUUAUUCUGAGCCAUUGGUUCGGGUUCUGGGCUGCUUGGCUCUGUCUUCAGGAGUGGAAUGUGGAUGGAAAAAUCGAGUUCUGAAUGUGAUGAGAUUGCUCUAAGCUGUUCGAGUUUCAGUCGAACGUCCUCUAUACUCAUGAAAAUCUAAAUACAUAACAAAAAAUAACUAAUUAAAAUAAAACAAAUAAAUGAGAUAAGAGAAAUAAAUAAGUAAAAAUAAUAAAAUAAAACGAGUGAUAAUAAACAAACUAGACGCUAGUCCCCGGCAACGGCGCCAAAAAUUUAGUAGUGUCGUUAGGGUGCACCAAAUUUAAAACCUUACUACUAGUAUAAAUAAUUAGUACAGAACAAGUAAGGAUUGAUCCCACAGAGACUAUGCUAGUUAUAUUUAUUAUCAACUCUAAAGCAAAACUUAAAAUAAAAUAAUAAUAGAAAUAAUUAAUAUAAAUUAAUCUAACUAAAGAAAAUGUCAAUUAUAAAUAAAAGGGGAGUUUUUGAAUUUUUAACUAAAUAGCAAGAAAUAAAGAAAUUAAACUAUGAAAACAAAAAUUUAAUAAAAACUCCAAUUAAAGGAGAAAGAAAUAAUAAUGACGAAAACUUUGGUUAAAAGAUUAUUCGCCACCAUCAAACAUGCACAUAAUAUAUCAAUUCUAUCAUCAAUUUAUAUUGAAACUAUCAACCGUAGACAACAACAAGCUCUGUUAGUCUCAAUCUUUCCUUAGUGUGUCGUUAGGCAAAAUAAGCUCUUUACCUAAUCUCUAACCAUUAAAUAAUUUAAAACAAGCUCUUUAAAUUUAAGAUAAUGGAAGCGUUAAAUAGAGAAAGAUAUUAGGUUGAUCUAGGCAAUAAACACACAAGCUCGGAUUAUUUAACCUAUGUUAUGUUCUCCAAUUGAAAUCACUGAUUCUAACCUGCUAGUAAUGAUUAAAAUAUCAAGACAAUUACGGAUUAAGAAUUUUAAUCUAGCAAUAUAAUUUAUUCAAGUCCUAUCUAAUUGGCCACUCAAACAAGACGAGAAUAAAAUCAUAAACAUUAAUUAUAGAAUAAUAUAAACAAUCUCAAUUAAAUAAAUUGAAUGAUAGAAUUUAAAUUUAAUUGCAUAGCAUGUUUAGGGUUUUGAAUUCACCCUCAACCAAAUAGAAAAUCUAGCCUAACAUAAUUAAAUUGGGAAUAAAAGAGUUAAUAAAACCAGACAUAGAGAUUAAUUCAAACGGCUGCCUCCUUUAAUUUUUUUCUUCUCCUUUGCGGCUGCAAAUUCUUUUGUAUGUGUGGCUGCCGAAUAAAAAUCCCCCUCGUGUUGCUUCCAUUUGACCCUUAUAUAAUGCUUCAAUUGUGGCUUUUAAAUCCUUGUAUGGAAAGAAUUAAAUCCAAGCCAAAACCGCCACUUUCAUAACGUGCUUGCCAUUUAAAUUGUCAUGCAACAUAUUUGCUGCCUUUUUCGUCUUCAUUCACAAACUCUUUUGAUUGGCCAUGCUUAAAGCCAAAAGGCUUUAUUCUUUUCUUCCUCUCACGUGCUGGAUGGCAAUCUCCUUUUUCCAAUUUUAGGUCCAUGUGAUGGCUUAGCUUGUAAUUGGCUUGGCUUCCUUUUUGACUUCCAUUUUCCAAUUUUAGCUCCAUGUGCAAAAUUAAUUUUGCUUGGCCCGUACAAGCUCUAAUUGGAAAAUAUUCUUUAUUUCUCCAAUUCUUGAUCUCUUGUGCACUUUUGUCUCCCAAUCUUAAAUUCUUUUCCUAUUCGGAUUCUCUCAAUAAGAUUUCUUUCCUGAAUGCUUCGAUUUAAUUUCUCUUUAAUCCCAGAAAAUACCUAAAAUAACAAAAUAAAAAACUAAGAUAAAAAUUAACACAAUAAAAAUAUACUUUACUAAAUUAAAAAUUAACUAAAAUAACUAGAAUAUUUAAGACCAAAACAAGAAAAAGAUGGAGAAAUUAAUAGCAAAAUAUAUGAAAAAUAUGCACUUAUCAGUGCUAGAAUUGUGUUGCCAACAUGAACUAUAAGUAAUCGCGAGUUAUUUGUUUUUACUACUACAUGACCUCCCUUGUACUUGGUCAUGUCAUGUAGCUUCUCUUAAUCACCAGUCAUGUGAUUUGAGUAGCUCAAGUCAAUGAUUCAAUCACUCUCAUAGUUAAUCCGGUUAGGUAUUGUGACUGCAAGGGCUAGCUGUUCUUCCUUGGUAACGACUGAUGCUUCAAUUUCCCAUUCUUCGCCAUUAUCCUUCUUCUUAUUAGAAGUGGUAGCAUUACUCUCCUCGGACUUUUUCUUGGAGUAAUAAUCUUUCGCCAUAUGGUCCUUCUUUUUGCAGUUGUAGCAAUUUCCUUCAAACUUUUUCUUUGGCUUUUGUUGGACACCAUUGUCGCGAUUUCUUUGUGUUCUUUCAAUGUGUGAGCUACCUUCUUGUUGAUGUCCUCAUGACUUAUUAACAUCUCUUUUUGAUCCUCCACCAUUAUGUCGUUUGAAUCGAUAUCUCUUCUUAUCGAUGGAGAGAGCUUCCUCAUUAUUCUUUAUUGAAGCCCCAUUCAUUUGCUUAUCAAUCACUUCUUGAUCGGCAAGCAAGUUUUCAAAUUCAUCAAUAGUUGGUUGAGUUGGCCAACCUUGGACUGCUUUAACAAAGCUCCUAAACUCAGGCCUCAAACCAUGAAUAAUAUUUCUCUUCAUUCUAGAUUUAGAGAUUACAGUAGUAAGAUCUAACUCAGAAAUUUCACGACAUAAAGAUUUUACGUUAUUGAAGUACUCGUCGACCGUCAUGUUUCAUUGUGAAAUUGACAGUAGCUCAUUCUCUAGAAGUAGCAGCCGCAUGUUGUUCUUCUUUGAUAAAAUCAUUACAAAAGUGUCCCAACCUUUUUUAGGCUUUUUAGCCUUUUUUAUGCAUUGUAGCAUCUCUUCUUCAAUUGUGCUUUUGAUGGCGAACAUAGCCUUCCUAACUUUGAUGUUCCACUACUUCAAAGUGACAUCCUCAGUUGGUGGUUUCACAUCAUUACCACAAACAAUCUCUUAGAGGUCCUUGCCUUGUAAAUAGAACUCCCUUAAUGUUGCCCAUGUAUUGUAAUUUUUAUUGUUGAGUUUCUUGACUCCUUCAGCUACCUGAAGGUCGCCCAUUGUGUCUGUAAGACUUUGACAAUGCCAAGCAAACUCGAUCUUUAGACGAGUUUUUAACUACUCACGAUUUAAUAAAGCUCCACCAAACAAUCCUCAAUCAUCUUUACUGUAUUCUUACAGUUUCCCCACGAUAAUCCUUGAUUGUUAUGAACUUCCAGCAACACUACUACAGUGGUCCCCGACCAAUUUAGCUCUGAUAUCAAUUGUUGAAAACUGAAGAUGACUAAACUGCUCAAAAUUGAAACUAUUGGGCAACAAAAAAAUUUACUAAGUUGAAGGAUUGUAUUGAUAUUUACAAGAGACACUACCACUCACAAUUCACGGCUCACACUUUUGAUUUCUCUCUUAUUCUUCACUCUUCACUUGAUGCAUAACCAAAUGAUACUAGGGGGUAUUUAUAGUGUAUGAGAAUAAAUCUAAACUAUUUAAAUAAAAAAUUAAUAACCAUUUAUUUUUACCUACCACACCUACCACUAAUGAUGGCCAAUAGGCCGUGCCGGCAUCAACAGUAGGCCCACUAGGGCCCGCGGGCUGGCAUGGUACGGCCCACCAAAUUAGUGGGCCGUGCCGUGCCCACUUUUUUCUCAUAAGGGCCCAGCACAGGCUCGUGUGUAAUUUGACACCUGUGUAAUUGACCAACUGCAUACUAUUCAAUUCUAUGUGAUAUAUCCAUAUAAUAAUUUUAUAACACUAGAUAUAAACAACUUUUCAGUUAUAUAAAACUAUUGUGAUUCCACAUAAUAAUUAAAAAAAAUUAUUAUUAUUACUUUUCAAUUAAUCUUUCUGUAGCAUAUCAAUUUGUACAUUAUAUUAGUGUGCAUAAAUUUAUUUCCAUAAAAUUAUUUGUAACUCUAUUAUUAUUGUUUUUACAAUAAGAAAAAAAUAAUAAAUAAUUAUUGCGAAUAUAUUUUUUCAAUUAAGAAUUCUUGAUUUUAGUUUUGAGCAAUGAUCUAUAAUUUAAUAUUGUAUAAAUAUAUAAAUAACGUGCUACCGCAUUUGAUUUUGAAUAUUUUAUUAUGAAUCAAAUAGGACCAAUAACUCAAGACUUUAUUAAAACUUGCAGUUAAAUUAGCCUAGUCGGUCUGUUAUUAAACCAACACUAUUAUUUCUUAAUAGGUAAAGAUCACAAUUAACAAAAAAUAAUUGUUUGUUCAUGACUUAUGAAUAUGGUCGUGACCAAGGGUAAUGCCCACACUUUGGGUAAUGCCGGGAUGAUUAAUUUUAAUUAUUUUUGGUGCCUACUAUUUUGUGGACCCGAGGACAGCUCACAAAGGCAAAAUACAUAUAAAUUUUUUGUCAAAAUUAAUAUUUGAAAAAGAUGGCACCAAAGGUCGUCGAACUUUAUGACGGUCCCAAUAAAGAAAAAAAAAACUUUUUGAAAAGAUUGUAAAAGAAAAAGAGUGAAAAAAAAAAGAUUAUUUAUGUAAUUCAUUUUUUUAUUAAUAAAAAGAAGUGGCAACAAAAAAGAAAAAUUGGAUUUUUUUUUGAGCUUAUGAUAAUUUUACAAAUAUAUUAUAAUUCGAAAUCUGGCUAGAUGAGUUAACAAAAAUAUUUAUUGGUAAUUCACAUUUAUUUUGACUUUUGGGUUGAAAGUGGAAUGACAUAUUGUGAUUUACGUGUGAGACAGUUUAAGAAUUUUAUAAUUUUUAUGAAUAAUUUUCUAUAUUAUGGAUUAAUUAAAGAGUAUCAUUACAUUAUUGCUCUUAAAUAUUGUUGUAAACAAUUUCGUCUGAUUCAUAAAGGUUGCAGCUUUCACAAAGUGCGUGGAGUUAGAUGAAACCAAUGGUUUCAACUACCCCUGCAACUUGGAUCCUGCUGAGCAUUGGAAAAUGGCAAAAUACAAAAGCAUUAAUAACAAUACAAUAUAUUGAGUAGCUAAAUAGGGUCCGCCUAAGUUAUUGCUAUGUGAUAUUUUGUUCAGCCCCCUAUACUCUAUAUUAUUUUUAAUUUAUUUAUAAAUAUUAUAAAAUUUUUUGAAUUGUAAAAUGUUGUUUAGCCCCUUACACUCUGUUUUAUUUUAUUAAAAUUCUUAGAGUACCAAUUUGCCCCUUAUAAUUUUAAAUUUUCAAAACAGCCUCUAUUUAAUUAAAAAAUAUAAUUAUUAUUAAAUGAAUUAUAAUUAUAAUAAUAAUUACAUAACGAAAUAGGAUCGAAGGAUGGAUGUGUUUUCGUUGGAACUCAGUAUUAAAUGCUUUGAUUAACAAUUAAUGAUUGAGACGGCUUUAUCCAAUUUUAGUUGUCAAAUUUUAGAUAUUUUGAAAUACGUGGCGUUGUUCCCCAGAUCGAUGCAGAACUUAAUCUGCCUUUGGAUCCAGGUCUGACUUAGAACAAAUCAAUAAUCCGCACGUUCUGUUUUCCAGCCAAUAUACUCAAAUAUUUUACCAGCUUUAAAUAUUAGGUUCGUUAGGCAAGCCUAGCAACAAACAUACAUCUAAAGGCUAUGUGCAUACACAGUACCAGAUCCGGUUCCCGGAAAUGGUGCUCUGAAGGAAUGGAGGGAGAAGAGAAGAUUUACAACUGAGGGUCGAGAUCUGGUCUCUUUGCCUCAGAGGAACAUACUUUUUAUAUGGCAGAUCUGAUACAGAUUAGUCUGCAAUCAUGCUUUGUAAAAAGAAAAUGCUUUAAAUUUAAAUUGUGGAAAUUUAAAUGCUUUAAAGUAAAUUGCGGAAAUUUAAAUGCUUUAAAGUAAAUUGCGGAAAUUUAAAUGCUUUAAAGUAAAUUGCGGAAAUUUAAAUGCGUUAAAGUAAAUUGCGAAAAUUUAAACAUACAGAACUUUGCAAAUUACAAGCUUUGAAAGAAAAGAAAGAUUACAAAUUUUACAUCUAAUUUGGUUGAUUACUUGCUUUGGAAAGAAAAAUGGGAAAUUAAUCCGAAGACAAGGAACUAUGGAAAGAGUUUCCUUGGGCUUCAGAUUUCUUAUUCCGAGAGAGAGAGGGAGAGAGAGAGAAUGAAAACUUAGAGAGAGAGAAGAGAAAACUAGAAUUGAAAAAAACUUCUGAGGAGUCUAAGUCUUCCUCUUGAUUUAGACUGUAGCGGAGCUGUAGCAUACAGUAAUCUUUGGAACUCUUCACUGUAGUAGGAGCGGAGCUUCUUGAAACAGUAACCUUUGGAACAUACAGUGUUUUCUAAUUUUACAAACUUUAAAUAAAUUCGGGUGAAGAGACAUGUGCGCUCUCACUUGUGUCCAGGGGACCACCCGAGGGUACAAAAGUACGUACAAAAUACAAAAUGGGUAUUUACCCUUUUUUUUUAAAAAGUAAAUAAACAAUAAUUAUUUACAAUGCUUUAUAGGAGAGAAAAUUCCGAAACAGUCGUCUUCAUUUUCAUCUCCAAGGGAAAUGAAUGGCUCUUGAUCUUCAUCUUCAGAGAAGUCUGCCACUGAUGACUUUGACCGAGAGGUGAGGAGUUGUUCCAUAACUUUGAAAUAUUCUUCUUCAGUUUUGGCGCUUGCCACAAGAGACUGGGCUUUGGAUUUUUGGGUAAGGAAGGUGUGUUGGGCUUUGGAGCCUGUUAAGGAUGGCUGAAGAAAUCCUUUGGAAGAUAGCCAAUUUCUGAUGAGGGUAUCGGUUAAUUUGGUCUUUUCAUCAAAUUUUGUCCACCAUUUUACUUUGAAUGUCCUUUGUAAGAUAAGCUGGGCAUCUUGGGUAUGUGGUCUGAGAUUCCACAUCCAUACCCAUGGAAGGAAGAAGUUUGUACAGAAACAGAGAAAGGGGGGAAACCUUUUCUCGGAUUCAGAAGGAAUGUAGUAGGCUUUGAAGAGGUUUAAACAUUGGGUAGCAUUUGGAGUUAGGAUUUGAGGUAUUGGGCCAAAAGAAUUCCACCAAUGAUGAAACCAGUUUGGGAGGCUUUGAACGGUUAUUUUUUAGUUAAAGAAAAAUAACCAAGAGUGGGAUUUUUUGGGGUUUUGGAUAAAAAAUGUGUUAUACCAGGCUUGUUGGUAAUCCCAGUAGGAAUAGGUCCGACAAUGUGGUAAACGUGUUUGAAAGUUUAGAGGGAAGGUUUUGAAAUUGUGGAGUAGGUCACCCCACUGGUUUGGGCUCAAGACUUUUAAGAUAGUAGCCGUGGAAUAGGCUGGCUCUGAAUGGGUUUCACUGAGAAAGAAAUGUUUGAAUUUAACUGACUCAGUAAUUUCUAAAAUGCUUUGAUAGUAAGACUGGGGUUUUGUUAAAUCCCAUGGUUUAAAAAACCAGCCUUUGAGAAAAAACUUUGAAAUUGCUUGAAAAGGAUCAGUAUGGUAAAAUCCAUCUUCCAUAGAUAAAAUGUUUUGAAAAUGGGUUUUAUCAAACCAAUCGGAAGUUUUCUUUGAAGGUGUUGGCUGAGAAAACACAAUUUGAGAGGAUGAGCUUUCACCAAAGACAACUAUACUUUGAGAAGAGGGCUUUAAAACCUCUUUGAAAAUAGGUUUUUCUUUUUCAAUUUCCUGUUUAGGAGAAGCUUGGCUUUGAGAAAAGCUUGGCAAGGCGAGCAUAACCUCAGGGGAUUUUGUAAUGGAACUCAUCCAUUACUUUACUUGGUCAUCAGAGGAGAUGGAUUUAUAUUGGGCUUCAUGUUCUUCAACCAUUUCUAUCCAGGACUUGAUAGGCAUGGCAGAAGAAAGCAAUUUUUCUUUAGAAGGAGUUGGUUGAGGUUCUUUAGAGGUGGCUUGGGACUCAGUGUCUUUAAGAACGGCUUUACCUUUGUCCUUCUUCUUUGGCGGCAUUAUCUGUUUUGAAGAAAUUCUCUAGUUAGAAAAUCAGGAACAGAAUUUUUGUCUCCUCUAAUAAAUUCAAUAUCGAAAUCAAAAACACUUAAAAUGGCUUGCCAUCUUGCAAAAAUUUGUUUUGAAGCAAUAUUUUGAACAUCUUUUUCCAAAACAUGUUUUGCAGCUUUGCAAUCAAUUCUAAGUAAAAAUUUUUUAUUUAAUAAAUCACUUUGGAAUUUAGAUAUGCAUAAAACAAUAGAAAGAAUUUCCUUUUUGAUAGUAGAAUAAUUCUUCUGGCAAUCAUUCCAGUGUGCAGAAAUAUAUUGUACUAUCUGUUCUUUAUCAUUAUCUUUCUGUUUUAGUAUACCUCCAUAACCUAAGUCAGAUGCAUCUGUUUCAACUAUUUUAGGUAAUGCAGGAUUUGCUAAAAAUAAACAAGGGAUAUUUUUUACAGAAUUUUUGAUUAAUCGAACAGCUUUAGUGUGUUCAUCUGUCCAUUCAACAGGAUUCUUUUUUAAUCUGUCAUGUAAAGGUUUAGACAUCCGGUUAAUAUUAGGACAGAAAUCAAGCACAUAAUUCAAACUUCCUAAAAAUCUUUGUAAUUGGGUUUUAUCAAGAAUUUUGUCUGGAAAUUUAUCCGCAAACAAAAGUGAUCGCUCAAUAGGAGUGAUAGUUCCUUUGGAAAUAUAGUGACCAAGGAACCUGACUCUCGUUUGGAACAAGGAGAUUUUAGAACUAGAAAGGGCUAGACCAGCCUUCCUUGUGGCAUAAUAGAAGGUCUUCAAGUGUUUGAAUGUUGAUCAAUUGAUUGGGAGAAAAUCAACACAUCGUCUAUAUAGACAAUGCAAAACUCAGAAUAGGGGUUGUAGAUGUCAUUCAUGAUUCGUUGAAAUUCUGAGGGUGCAUUCUUUAAACCAAAUGGCAUUACAGUCCACUCAUACUGUCCAAAAGGAACAGUAAAAUGAGUUUUAUAACGGUCAUUAGGGUGAAUUUGUAUUUGCUAAAAUCCUGACUUCAUGUCGAAUUUUGAAAAAAUAAAGGCGGAACACAAUUUUUGGAGUAAAUCUUUUUUAUUAGGUAUAGGAUACCUAAUCCAUUUUAAUGCUUUAUUUAGAGGUUUUUAAUUUAUUACAAGUCUUGGUGUUCCUCUUUCAAUUUCGGAAUUUUUAUUAACAUAAAAAGUGGCACAAGACCAAGGUGAUCUGGAUUUUACAAUAAGUCUUUUUUUCUCUAAGUCAUUAAUUUCAAUUUUACAGUGUUGUUCCAAUUCCAUGUUCAUUUGGAUUGGACGGGCUUUUGUGGGUAUUUGUUUUUCAUCAAAAGAAUUGUCAUAAGGCAAAUCUACCAAAUGUUGUUUUCUUUCCCAGAAAGCAGAUGGUAAAUCGGUACAUAUUUCUUUUUCAAUGAGAUUUUUAAAAUCAGUGAUUUUUCUUUGUACAAAGUCAUUUUGUAUUUGGUUUUCAAUUCUUUGUAAGUUUAAGUCCUUUUUUUAGACAAAACAGGUCAUUUUGUUUAGAUUUGAGCACGUCAUUGAUUUGGUUUUGGUAAAUAGAACAAGCUUUAACAAUAUUCAGAUUUCUUGUUUUUGGUUUCUCGAUAAAAGGAAAAAUAAACUUUUUGGAUUUUGCUUUAAAAGAUAUACUAUCAUAAUUGACAGCAUAUGGAGUAAUCAAAUUUAUAAAUAGGGUUCCUAAAAUGACAGCAUGAUGAAUAUCAUUUGUAAGGAUAAAAGAGGUUCUGAAUUCAAAACCAUUGUUAUGAAUUGAAGCUUCGACUUUUGAGUUGACUUUAAGUUUUGAAUUAUUGGCGGCAGAAAGCCUUUCUUUUGUUUUUUCAUGAAAUCUUUUUGGGACAAUGUCCUCUUUUAUACAAUUUAAAUCGGCACCAGUGUCAAAAAGGGCAAUGGCAUCAAUUGCAAAAUCUUUAGAAAAAAUUAAAGUGGUUUUAAUCAAAUAUUUUCUGGUGGUGACUUGUUUUAAAACAAAUAGAAAAUCAUUUGGCACUGAUUCAAUGUUGUCUAGUCUUUGUUCUUCAUUAUCACCAUCAUUAGAUUCUCUAUCUGAAUUAUCCUGUAAUUGUUUUUGUAAAAGAAGUUGGAUAGUUUCAGAAUCGUUCUUUUGUUUUUCUUUUAACUCUUUUAUUUCGAGUUUAAUAUCGUUGAUUUCCUUUUGAAGAUUUUGGAUAUUAGGAGUUGUUUUCUUUAUUUUCUUUUUGUCUAAAAUUUGAGUGAGAUCAUAAGAACUCUUUUUAACAAUUGGAAUUUUGGAAGUUUCUGCUUUAUUAGAAUCCAAGGUCUUUAAAAGUUUAUCAAGGUAUUCUUUUUGGAGAUUCGGAUCAGAAAUAUGUUUAACAAGUUCAAGAAAAAUUUCUUGGUCUUUAGUCAAAACGUUGAUUUUCUUUAAAUAAGAUUCUGAUUCAGAAUCACUACUGCUAUAUGCAGCGGUAUCUGAAUCAAUCAGCUCAUCAACUUGAAAAGGGUCACUAUCUCCCGACAUGGAAGACUCAGAGUCAGAGGACUCUACUAGAAGAGGGGCUACUUUGGAGAAGGUGUCUUCAUCGAGUCCUAACUCAUGAAGCUUUCGGUUCAUUCUGCAAUAUUUUGCAGUGUGGCCCUUUAUUCCACACUUAUGGCAAAUGGCCUCUUUGUAAUUGAAAGGGGCUUUGUGUUUAGGUUUAAAUUCCUUUUUCUUAGAGAAGUUGGGCUUCUUAUGAGGCCUCAAAGGUUUCUUAUAAGAAGAUUCUCUAAAAUUUUGGAAUGGUUUCCUAUGGCUUUUGGAUUUGUAAUGUCUUCUGUGAGGCUUGGAGGAACACUCACCAUUACAACCUUUGGAGAUGGAAGUUUUAAAGGGGUCAUAAUUGAAUUGUUUACAGAAACUGCCUAAUUCUUGCUUAGAUUUCCUAAGCUCCCAUUUAAGUCGUUUCUGUAAUUUCAAAUCUUGACAUAUCUUUAAUCCUUCCUUGUUAAUGAAACUGACAAGUUCACCGUAGGUGAGCUCAUCAUAAGGGAUACGAUUAUCAUAUAAGGCUUUAAUGGAAUUCCUAACCUUUUCUCCUAGAAGGGUAGGUAAUCCUGCAAGGAAUUUCUCUUUCCAAGUUAUAUGAUUUGCAUCAUCUCUGAGAAAGAGUCUGGUAAAGAAGGUGGUUUUGUAGCCCUGAAAUUCACUAAGUGUUCUACAUCUCAAAUUAUAUAGUAACUCAGCGUUUUUAUGUCUGAGGUGAGAAGGAUCACCUAUGAAAUUGAGGGAGAUGGUGAGGAUUAAAGUGGCAACCGCAUCUUGAAUUGGAUUAUUAAACUCAUCAAGAAUAGGUAUUUAAUCCUCAUCGAUUUGUAUGGAAUUUAGAAUAUCUAAUUGUUGCUGUUGGGUGAGAAGGUGAUCCCACCAACCUUUAAGUUGACCUGUAAAACCAGCAAUAAGGAUUUCUGCAAUAGCUUUGUCAGAGGUUCCUGAUUGGGUUUUAUACGCAUUAGCUGCCAUGGUAAUCUGCUGCAACAAUCCUAGGAUGUUGUACUCAGACAUUCCAUCUAAAUUCCACUCAUAGACAGAGGAUGCAUUAUAUCGGGAUUGAUUUAAUGCACUGGCCCUGUUAUCUAUGGUCAAAUCAGGUGGAGUCUUAACAGUGGGAAGGGCUAAUUCCCAAUGGAUUUUGUUGGCUUUAGGAAUAGGUUCUUCUUUAAAGGCUUCUAUAUCGGAAGAGGCAAUAGACGUUUGGUCAGACAUUUGGUCAUGUUCUAAUACUCCAAUCUUGCUAGAUUGAGGAGUAUCAGGAGCUAUUUGAACUUUGCUAGAUGAGGAAGAAGCAGCUUCUAUCCUAUCUAGUUGUUUUCUAAUGGCUUUAGCAAAAUCUGACUUUGACACAUGAACAAGCUUUUGACUAGUUUUCGAAACCUGAAAAGGUUUGAAACUAGGCUCUUUAAGCUUCUUGUUAGAAUCCGAUUUUAAUAGAACAGGAGUAGAAGAAACAGCUAUGGUUGACUUUUGGAAUUGGUUUUCUAUCCUACUCAAUUGUUUUCCAAUGGUAUUUAAGUUAGUAUUACAGAAAUUAUUCUGUUGGAUAAUACUACUUAAAUUCGCAUCAGAAUCAUUAGGUUUUGGAAUUUUGUAAGGAGAGGCUCUAAUUUGUAUGGGAGGUUCACCGUGAUCUACGGUUAUACUCUGAAGAGGUGGAUGCUCAGAUUCUAUAGUUCUAUCACUAUCAGUAAGUUUCCAUUCAGGAAUUUUCUUUCUAACAGUAAUAGGGCUUCACUCUUUAAAGGGAUAAGAAAUGUCAUUCUCAGAAGAAUAUAUCUCGAACCAAUCAAAAAAUAAUAUAUGGACUUGAUGUAAAUUUACAAAUUCAUAAUAGAAUUGUUGGAUUUCUUUUCUUUGGUUUAAAAACUGUUUGAAAAACCAAAGUUUUUUCUCUUUAUUAGUUUCUGAAUAAAAAUCAUUGUGAAGAAGAUUUUUAUCAAGUUCAAAAUUCUUUUCAAUGACAUUGAUUACAUUUUCUGUGACUGCAGAAAAAGUAGGAGAGGUUGGAGGAGAAGGUUCCUUCUCUUCCUGUCUUUGUUCAUGUUGACUGCUAGUGUAAAUAGAGUGAGGAACACUAGUGGUAUAGUCAACAGAUCGUAUAGAAGUACUAGGUAUAUCUGAAGUAGAAAACCUAGGUUGACUCUGAAAAGGAAGAUUUAUAACAGAAGGGAUUUUUGUAAAUUUUCUCUCUAAAUAUGGAAUACUUGAGCACGACUCUUUAUCAGAAAACCUGGUUGAGGCAGAUCUUAUGAAUGAUAAUUUGACUUUUCUAUCGAAAUACUGAGUUACAUUUUGUAACUCUGUAUUAGGCUCAAGUUGUUUCGGAAUCGCUGGUGGAGCGGCUCCUUCAAGGAUCCAUUCUUCUGGAAGAUGGACAUCUUUCCAUUGGAUUGGUUUUGGAAUGACAGUAUUGGCUCUAGACAAAUCAGUCUGCAAGAGAAGAGUCUCAUCUUUUUUUGACUGGAAUUUAUGCUGUGUACUGAAAGCAGUAAUCAUUGCUUUAUAAGAGAUUUUAAAAAUCAAGGCAACCGGGAUAACAAUCAAAGGAAAUUGGACCUUUACAGAGACUGGAUUCGAUGCUACUUAGCAAAGAAUCAUCAAAAGAGAUGAAUCGCUCAUCUCUUAGGACAGCAAGGAUAGAAGUAUCCAAACCUUCUUUGGUUAAGGGUUUUAUUCCAACUUGAAUUAAACCAAUGUGAAUGUAAUUAAAAUUCUUUUCUUUUAAUUUCUUUAAAGAAUGUUCAGAAAACAAAUGGAUUGUUUCAAAUGGUUUUGAGAGAGUUAUAUCACGUUCUUCAGUCUUUAUAACAUAAUCAUUCUUUAAGAAAUCAAGCUUUUUUGUUCUGUAAAUUUUUUCUUUAGAAAUUUUUGGAAGUUCCCAACAAUCAAUUGCUUUAUCAAAGUUCUCAAUAACGAAUUCUUCUGAACUCACAACAUGCUUUGAAUCACUAGUCUUCCCAGAAGAAGAGCUAGAAAAGGAGGAUGCUCUACAAUAUAUAGGUUCCAUGGGUAAAAACCUAUGGUCUAUUUUUGGUUUUGAAAGAAUGGCUACAAGUAUGGUUUUACAGCCCUAUGCGGAAUACUUAUCCUAUGACGGGACUUACUACCAGUAAAGAAUUCACCACACAACAAAACUUCAAAAUAAAACACAAGUCAAUUUUAUUAUAAUUAUAAAUAUAAUUAUAAUUUUUAAAUAGAUUAUUAUUAUAAUUAUAAUUAUAAUUUUUAAAUAGAUUAUUAUUAUUAUUAUUUUAUUAUAAAUAUAAUUAUAAUUUUAAAUAAAUUAUUAUUAUUAUUAUUAUUAUUAUUAUUAUUAUUAUUAACAACAAGAAUAAAAAGUAUUAUAAUUAAUUAAUCUAUUAACAAUAAUUAAUAAUAACUUUUUUGUUAAAUUGUUAAUGAUAAUAAUUAACGAUAAUUAUUAAUAAUAAUUAAUUUUUGAAUAAUAAUAACAAUAACAAUAAUUAAAUACAAAAUAAUAAUUAUGAUAAAAAUUAAUUAAGGAUUUUGUAGUAAUUUGUUACAAUUUAACUCACUCUGAUUUUUAUUCUAAAACAAAAUAAACACAUAAAUGGUAAUACAACUAAUUUUAAUUACGAUUCCUGUAGUUCAAGUAAAUAAAUUAUUAUGAUUCCAAAUCCUCAUUUCGAUUCUAGCUAUUCUGAUUCUAACUCAUUAUAUUUCUAGCUAAUUUGGAUUCAUGUUUAGUGAACGCACUAUAAAAUUGUAAACCACUCUAUAUUAUUUACAAUUUAUUCAUAAGUAUUAUGAAUUUUAUAGUACAUUCACAAAAAAUGAAUCGAAAUUAGUUUGAAACAUAAUGAGUUAAAAUCAGCUAUUCUGAUUCUAACUCAUUAUAUUUCUAGCUAAUUUGGAUUCAUGUUUAGUGAACGCACUAUAAAAUUGUAAACCACUCUAUAUUAUUUACAAUUUAUUCAUAAGUAUUAUGAAUUUUAUAGUACAUUCACAAAAAAUGAAUCGAAAUUAGUUUGAAACAUAAUGAGUUAAAAUCAGAAUAGUUAGAAUCAUUGGAAUCAUAAUAAUUUAUUUACUUGAACUGCAGGAAUCGUAAUUAGAAUUAGCAGUAUUACCAUUUAUGUGUUUACUUUGUUUUAUAAUAAAAAUCAAAGUGAGUUAAAUUGUAACAAAUUACUAUAAAAUCCUUAAUUAAUUUUUAUCAUAAUUAUUAUUUUGUAUUUUAAUUAUUGUUAUUGUUAUUGUUAUUAUUAUUCAAAAAUUAAUUAUUAAUAAUAAUUAUCGUUAAUUAUUAUCAUUAACAAUUUAACAAAAAAUUAUAAUUAUUAGAAAAUAAUAAAAUAAUAAUUAUUAUAAUUUAUUUAAUAAUUAUUAUAUUUUUUAAUUAAAUGGAGGUUGUUUUGAGAAUUUAAAAUCCAAAAAAUUUUAUAAUAUUUAUGAAAUUGUUAUAAAUAAUAUAAAAUAUAGGGGGUUGAACGACAUUUUAUAGGGCAGACAUGACAACUCAAUUUUACAGCAGGCACAUGCUUGGAACUUUCACAAUUUUCAAAUCCUGAAACAACUGCAUUGCACUGCUCGUCUGCACGUUUGCAUAAAAUGACAAAAUUUUCAAAUUUCACAAGUGUAACAGUAAAAUUGAUAUGAGUAAUUGAGUAUAGGACUACUCAAUUCAGCAUGUGCGCGGUGCACCACAUAGAAAUUAAUUUUUUCUGAUUAUUUAAUAACCAAAAAAUUCUAAAUUAAUUUUAUUACUAACUUAACGGAUAAAAAAAUUCUGAAUUAACAGUAAAAUUGAUAUGACUAUUCAAUUUUACAGCAUGGGCACCGAUUAGCAAUUAACUUUUUCUGAUUUUUAAUAACAAAAAAAUUUUAAAUUAAUUUUAUUACUAACCCAACGCUUAACGGAUAAAAAAAGUAAUUCUUAUCUUAUAAUUAAUGUAAGAUACACUCCCUCAGUACCAUAGUUAGGUUCACAUAAUUUUACAAAAUUUUUUGAGACACGGGGUACGAUAGGUGAUAAACUUGGCAGGCGACUACGUGAAGUUUAUUGCUUCACAUUUUGGAUGGGGAUUAUUUUCAGGGACCUCCCUGAGGUUUAGUACAUUUACAGUCGGAUAGAAAGUAUGCAUGUAAUUAAAUGGACCUCCCCUGAUGUUAGUGUUCCGUUAAGUGGACUGUCAGUUGACUGUUGAAAUUUAAAAAAUGCCCUUGCCGCCAAAAUCUAUUUUGAUUCAUAUGAUAAACUGAUGGGUAAUAGAAUUCACACCAAAAUAUCCAAUGGAUAAAAAAAAAUUACACACCUAAUAAAAAUUAACAUUUUGCUGCCAAUAUUACCGUUGUAAAUAUUCAGCAGCAGAGCCUAUAAAUGGAGCCUUUUGCAGGCUUAAUAAAUCACCAUAGCACACUCUCUUCUUCUUCUUCUACUUCUUUUCAAUAAUUCUUAAAAAACUUUGGUUCUGUAAUUUUUAAAACAUGCUUUCGUAAUUCUAGUUAUUUUUAAAACCUGUUGUCAUUUCAAAUGUUGCAGAACACUGCAUCAAUAGACAAUCAGAUGAGACACCUAGUCUAUCUCAUAGAGAAUGCUCUCCUAAACCUUCUAGAGGGUCAGGAACAAAUGGCAUGGUUAAUAGACUUCAUUGGCUGGUCAUUCAGCACCAGCGUCCCUAUCAAGUCUGCUCGAGAAACUAUCAAUAUAUUACAAAAUCACUACCCUGAAAGGCUGGCCAUAGCAUUUCUCUACAAUCCCCCACGGAUUUUUGAAGCAUUUUAGAAGGUUUUGGUUCUGCUCCCUGAGAAUGCAUUCUGGUUCUGGUUCUUACUAAUGAUUAAUUCUUAGAUAUCUCUCUUAAUUCUUCCACUUUUGGUAUUAUUUCUUAAGUUUUCAAAGAGUUAGACCUUUUAAUAAAAUAACAUGCGCUGCUUCUCUUCUUCAUCUCAGGUUGUCAAGUAUUUCUUGGAUGCCAAAACAUUCCAAAAGGUGAAAUUUGUAUAUCCAAAGAAUAAAGACAGCGUGGAAGUCAUGAGUUCAUAUUUUGAUGAGGAAAAUCUUCCGACUGAUUAUAUGAAGAUACUUGAAGUUCUUUUUUUAUACAAACUUUGACAUUAGCAGGUUAAAGUACUACAUACUCUUUGUUCAGCCGAUGUUCUGGAGUUGGGGUUUUUCAAUUAUUUUCGCUCAAAUUUCCCAUGAAAGUUAAUUUGUUCUAUACAUGACAGACUAAGUUCACUUAUUGUACCAGUCAUGUGCACUAUAUUGCCUAUGCUCAUAAUUCACAAAGUAGAGUCCCAUCCCUUUAAAAAAUCAAAGUGUGGAUCAAACCAGUUCAUUUCCACCCCUCAAACAAGCAUACUACAUAUUUUCGGCAGCUCAUCUCAAAUUUUUGUAUCACGCAUUGUCCAUAAACAAUUAAUAAUACUUAUUAAUAAUUCAGCAAAUGACAGGCCCAAUCGCCCAGCCCAACAGACCCAUUUUAUCACACAUUUUCAACUCAACACCAACAACUCCAAAUAAAAACAACAUCUAGCAACAUAUUCAUUAAUUGAAACAGACCCAUUGUUAUUUUUAAUCAACAAAAGCCGUAAGCCACUGAUUCAAGGAAGUAAGUUGUAUUUCGAAGACUAACCUCUUUUGUAAUCCAAUUCCAGUCGCGACAGACACUGGCCGUCGGUGAUGCUCACUUCGUGGAAGCUUUGGACCACCCCACGAUGUCAUCUCGUGCGUUAGAUGAAAACAGAUCAGUGAUUGCUUCUCCAACGAUGAAAAUGAAAUUGGGUUUUGUUGUGUAAGCUCUCCAACGAUUUGUGUAAGCUGUGUCUUUGAAGUUGAGUGUGUUUUCAGAAAAAAUUCAUUUUCAUUUGUCUGUUGGGUAACGAUAGUCACUGGGUAAUAGGGAGUUCAUAUCUUUAGUUCUCAGACAUCCAAGCAAGCUUCGUUUGAAUUUUGUUUUUGUUUAAAUUUUAAAUGUACUUUUACAUGUUUGCUCUUUAUGAUAACGUUAUUCGUAUUUUUGUAUUAAUGUCAGUGGAGGUCCUUGUAAUUACAUACAUAUUUUCUAUCCGACUAUAAAUAUACUAAACUUCAGGGGAGGUCCCUGAAAAUAACUCUUUUGGACGGAUUGGAUUCAUGACCAUGAAGGCUAUUUAAACAAUUCAAAAGCCAAAAUACUGAUGCACCAAGAAGUGGGGUUAGCAUUUUUCAUUAUUGUUUCUCAAUAUUUUUACUCUCUCUCCCUCGUGAUCGUCAUGGCAGAAAAACAUAAAGUGAAAAUACAUUCAGUUAGCAAAAUCAGCCCGCCGUCGUCCGACUCAGUCACCGCUUGCACUCUUCCACUCACCUACUUCGAUACUCAGUGGCUAAAAUUUCCACAUUCAGAAGGCCUCUUUUUCUAUCAAAUCACUGACCUAACUUUUGAUUUAUUCAACUCAGUGAUCCUCCCGAAGCUCGCUCACUCUCUCUCACUCACUCUCCUUCAUUACCUCCCCCUCGCUGGUCACAUAAUGUGGCCUGCGGACUCCGCAAAGCCAGCCAUUUACUACUUUUCUGACCAAAACGAC